rnacentral:lncRNA from 1 species
UCUCUCUCUCUCUCUCUCUCUCUCUCUCUCUCUCUCUCUCUCUAAAUGUUGCAUGCUUGUGUUUUAGGGUAGCUAUAGAAUGACAAACUUGAAAGUUAACAGGACCCGAAGGCUUUCAUGGACAAUGACAAGUAAAUGAAGGUACAUUGGAAUUAAGAACUAGAGAGAGAGGACGGAAAAGGAAGGAAGAAGAGAAGCCAUUGUUAUUGUAUGAUAAGGAACAGGAUUCCUUCAUAUGCGGUGAGGAGUAAGCGCUCAAGUACACGCCCUGAGCUCACUCUGGGAAUCUGGAACUGUGUCCUUCUCGUCAAGCUUCAGUGGCAGCAGUUCUGGUCCGGCGACAAUCACCUAUACCUCCCUCCUCUCACUCUCACUCUUAUCAAUCCUUAACGGCGAUCCAAACAUGUGUUUUCAGCGUGUAACUGAGCCACCUUUCCCUCAGCAUGCAAGAUGAGUUGACUGACACCCCAAAAAUGGUCAAGAUAUCACUGAAGAGAGAGCACUAGUAAUUUGAUUCUAUCAAAAACAACAUUUUGAUCCAGACUGGUAUUUCAGAAAUGCAAAAAACUUCUUACGUACAUUACAGAGCGUGCAAACAAAUGCAAAUAUCUUGAUGUUAUUAAAAGUCCAUAGUAAUAAUUUAGCACCAGGAGCUAAGAGUAUAUGCCAUGGAUAUCCCACACUAAUGGGGGUAGCUGCACUGACAUUUCUUGGGGGUGCCAUGAUAGGGUGAUUGACUUCUCCUUUCCCACCAUCCUCUCCUUUCCCUCGGAGCCUGAGAUGUCAACUCUGAAUGAAGCUUCAGAGAUACAAGAACAAGAUGUUUCACUGGCCAUUCUACUUCUGAGCUUUAGAACCUGACAGUGCCAACUCUUCCACUUUGAUAUUUCCAAUGAGUGGCUAAAGCACCAGGGGGGAAGUGCUUCUCUUACUCUGUGCCAUGUUUAAACUCCAAAGGCUACUCAUGAACCAAUUCCUGAAUCCAACAGGAAUACUAUCAUCUUUCAAAGACCCAUAUUUGUUGAAACAUCAAGUGAGAAUGAUGCAUCUCAAGUGGAGAUCUACAUGUGGCUGUUAAUUUUUGUAAGCUCUUUUUUCUUUCUUCUUGUUCACAUUGCUUUAAAGAGGAUACUUUGGUGCUGCAUGAAGAGUGAGGAGGGGGAAGAAGAAGUGGGAAGGAGUGCUCAGACCAAUGACUAAUUGCUGAAUGCUGCAGCAUAUCUUGUGAUCACUCUCACAAAUUAUUCCUCCACUGGCAGAGUUUCCUGGUCCUCAGAAUGAUACACUUGUCACUUCGCUCCUUCUCCACCAGAAAUGGCUAUGGUGGUGGCUAAUAUUUGCACCAACCAUAGCUCACAGACUCCCUGCUAAUGCAGAGAAAUCACUGGAGAACUUUGGAAGCCUGACAGUCAAGAUAUGGUUCUAAGAACUUGAUACUGAAGCAGAAGAUGACACCACAUAACUUUGAUUCGAUGGCACAUUUCUUGACACUGUCUUGUUGUUCUUGGAUACGUAUGAUGAGUUCCUUUGUAUUCAGAUAAAACAUGACCAAGCUUUUGGCUGGUGUUUGCAAGAAAGUUUUUUGAAAGAAACAAGCUUUCAGAAGGUUAGUCUUUGAGCAGGUGAAGGACAAGUAGGCAUCAAGCACGCAAUUGCUGAAUGCAAUAGACUAGUACAGUUCCUGCUGUGCCUUAUGCACCUAUGAUGGAGGAGAAGAAGAGAACGAGGAAAUGGCAAACCUAGCUAUAGUAUCUUAGACAAGUAGGACACUGCUCUCAAGCAUCAUGUAAGGAUCCAGUGUCAUGACACUGCUGCUGCUACAAUGCACUUGCUUUUGCAGGUAGUAGCAGACACAUCUGCAGCUGCCAUGUCAAGGAGAGAUUUGGCUGCCGGUGAGACUGGAAAAUGAGGAGCAGCAGCAAUCCUGAGGUUGCGAUUAGUGAUGCACAUCUUUCAACCUGUUGAAGGGAUAUGAGUUGGACAGCAAAUGCAGUGGUAGAGCUUUGGCUUACUGAGAUCCCUCCUUCCACAAGAAUAGCCACAUGGAAACACAAGGGUGUGAGAUUAAUGAAUGAUUGCAGUGCUCAAUAGGGGACAUUAAAAGAAGAGAAAAAUAAGGACCAAUAAUGCCACUACCUAUUUAUAUGACUCUUCAGCUCUGAAAAAUCUUUGUGACUUCUGAUCUUGAGUAAAUAAAUCACAUAUUUUCAUUAUUUAUUAGCUAUGAUUAUGUUAAUCAACUCAAAGGGGGACAAAGAAUUAUCAGUUGUAACAUUAAAAUGUGAUGAUUAUUAAAAGAAAAACUUUAUAUGAGCUCACGAUUAGGUCACAAAGCCUAAAUGAAAGUUAUUCUAAGCCACAAUUUGGAUAGAAAUCCACCAAGGAGUAACAUAGUUUGGAAGCAUUUGUACCACCCUAUUUUAUAUGACUAGUAGUAAAUUAGAUGACCAUUGUAAUAAGUGUAUUAACAUAGAGGAAGCAUUUCUACCACCCUUGUUUACAAGUUUAUAUGCAUAUAUAUUGGAAUUCGUUAAGUAAGAUCUAUACUAACGUCUUAUACUAAGAUCGUGUGUUAAUCAUAAUUUCAAAACUCAUUAUUAGGAAGGUAAAUUUAUUUUUUACUUCAUGAGGUUCUCUAAAUAAUGCUAUGUUACACUCAGUAGAUGAAAUUGUGUCUAUCACUCACUAAAAUAAAAAUAUUUGUUUUUUAAUAGUGGAUAAAGAAAUCAAUUAGUCAUUAUAUUUACGAAUUGUUUAUCCUCGAAGAGAAUUAUCUAAUCCAUAUAGCCUUAACAAUGGCACAAAAAUCAUAUUGUUCAUUUUCAUUUAUUUAUGUAUGUAUUUUAAGAGACAAUACGAUACAAAUAUCAUGAUAGACUAGGCUUAAUAUAUGAUAGAUAGACAUGUAACUGUUUUUUAAAGGCGAUACUAUCAUGAAAUUUAAUCUUAAAAUUAAAAUUUAUUAAUCAUUUAAAAAAAAAUAUAAUAUAACUUUAAAAUAUUUUUAAAUUGAUCAAAUCAUAAAAUCAUUAGGUGUCAAUCCUUUUGUAACACCUUAUCCUUAAUUGAAAUGAUCAAAUUAACUUGAAGCAAAUAGGUGUUCGACUAGAAUCUAAUUAAAUUGACAUUAAAUUUACAUAAAUAUGAUCUAAAAUCACCAUAAACAGAUGUAAUUGGAUAUGGAUUUGUUCUAUUUGGGUCGUACGAGUUUGAAUCGAAAAGAAUUAAUUCGAAAUUAUCCUGAAAUUCGAUCUAAUUAGGGGUAAUUGACUGGGUCACAAGGGAUCGCAUGAGACUUGACCUAUCAAAUUAGGCAACUAAUAAGAAGAAUUCCUUUAUUUGAAUUUUCAUCAAUUUCAUACCAAUAAAAUAAAAGAAAAAUUAUUAAUCAAAGCUGGAUUUCCUCCAUUUUCUGAAUUUUCUUUUGAGAGACAAGAGUUUGAUUUUGUCCCAUUAUUAUUUUUAUUUUUCAUAUAUUUAUUUCGACCAACCAAGGAAGAUGGCCGACCUGAGAAGGCACAGUAAGAGACCGCGGCCGUUGGCCACGGUGGAUCAAGGGCAAUCUCGUAAUUCUCGGCUUCUCUUCCUUCUUCUCACCCUCUCAUUAACGUUGACGGUGAUUCUUCCGACCUGUUAAGCCGAAACCUCUCUCUCUCUCUCUUCGUUCCCCUUCUCUCCGCAUUCGCCUCUAUUCCUUGACUCGGAAGCUUAACCGGAUCGCAGCUCUUCUUCGCCUCCUUCCGCCCCGAUCUCGGCCCUCCCAAGCCCUAGAUUUCUGGGGUUUCGGCUCAUCAACCCGCGGAUCUCUCCGCCCCUACUCCGCCUCCGCUCCGUCUCCCGUCUCAUCCGAAAAGAUGGUACGUUCGAUCUUUGCUCGUGCCCUUAAUCGCCUUCUUUGCUUAAGUGAUGUUAUAUCUUGAUGGUUGUUCGUUUCUUGGGUUUCGCGUGCCUCAUCAUUAAGAGGCUGAACUAUCUAUAGAACUUGUUUUGUAUUGGUGUCUGAUGGUCGUUCGUUUCUUUUUCUGUGUUGAUUUGGUACCCGUGGCAACUGCUGCAGCCUCUCAGACUAGAAAUCAAGGUAUGUGAUCCUAACCCUUGUGUAGAUUUUGGUAUAUUUUAGUUGGAUCUUAUGUCUGGGUUGAACUCUAUUGUCAAAUACAUGUUACAUUUGAAUGGUAUUUGUCUCGAAUUGUGCUUACAGUUUAUAUGUGUGUCAGAGGAAACUUGCCCAAAGGUCGGAAAGGGUGAAAUCGGUAGAUCUACAUCCAUCGGAGCCAUGGUAAGGAUGAAUGCCUUUUUCUACACUCCCAUUCUGAUAAUUAUGGAAAGGGUGAUGCAGGUUUUCAAUACUAUAUGAUAUGCCACCCUACAUUAAUCUUUUUAUUGCAGGAUUCUUGCAAGUCUUUAUUCUGGAAGUGUUUGUAUCUGGAACUAUCAAUCACAGGCAAGUCACCUGUUUUUAAUAUGUUGUAUUUGUACCUUGGCUGAAUAAACUUUUAGAAUCAUUCUUGACCACUCGUUAAUGAGAUUGAGCAGCCACAUUAUGUGGUCAAUGUGUGUAUAUACCAACAUGCUUUUGGAACUGAUACACCUUCAUAUUUGAGAUGGUACUUAUUGCAUCUUUCAAUAUGAAUUAUUCUUUAUCUGGUUCUGAAAUAGUUAGGGACUAGCCAAGUCUGAAGAACUUGAUUGAUCAUGUAAUGAGAACAGAGUUGUGAAAUUAUUUGAGACUAAGGCCAUACCCUACAUCACACUCAAUAGGAUACUUGCACUUUGGUAGAGCUUAGGAAUGGUCUUGUUUUUAUCCAUUCUGAUGAUUGACAAUGAGAGACUUUUUUUGCAUCAUAAAGAAUUUGGUGUUUAUCUUGAUAUAUUUUGAUCACGAAUUCGAUUGAUUGCAGACUAUGGUAAAAUCUUUUGAGGUCACUGAAUUACCAGGUACACUACACUGUAUCCUAGCCUUUUCUGAUGUUACUAGAGUUUGUUAUAUAUUCUGAACAUUUAUUUAUUGGGAUUUCAGUCCGGUCAGCAAAGUUUAUAGCACGCAAGCAGUGGGUUGUGGCUGGUGCAGAUGAUAUGUUUAUUCGUGUCUACAAUUACAAUACUAUGGACAAAGUUAAAGUGUUUGAAGCACACACAGACUACAUAAGGUGUGUGGCUGUACAUCCAACACUUCCAUAUGUGUUGUCAUCAUCAGACGACAUGCUGAUUAAACUUUGGGACUGGGAGAAGGGUUGGAUUUGUACCCAAAUCUUUGAAGGACACUCUCACUAUGUGAUGCAAGUAACCUUUAAUCCAAAGGACACAAAUACUUUUGCAAGUGCCUCCCUGGACCGCACAGUGAAGGUGUUGCUGCAAUAUCUUUGAUGCGUUACAUGGAUUUUACCAUGUUUUUUCGGGUACUGAACCGUUUAAUUUAAUUUUUUUGCAGAUCUGGAAUCUUGCUUCUCCAGAUCCAAAUUUUACACUAGAUGCACAUUCUAAAGGAGUAAAUUGUGUUGAUUAUUUUACUGGUGGUGAUAGGCCAUAUUUGAUUACUGGUUCUGAUGAUCAGACUGCAAAGGUGUGCCUCAUGCUUUGUUAAGCUCAUAGCUCACAGUCUACUCUAAAGUUUUUCUAUUAAUAAGUUUCAUUAAAUCAGGUCUGGGACUAUCAAACCAAGAGCUGCAUUCAAACACUCGAAGGCCAUACACAUAAUGUUUCAGCUGUCUGUUUCCAUCCUGAGCUUCCGAUAAUAAUAACAGGUUCAGAGGAUGGAACUGUUAGAAUUUGGCAUGCAACUACAUAUAGGUAACUGUGUUCUGGAAAUAGAUCUAAUUCUACAUACACCUUUCUGUGUUAAUCUUCUUUGUACUUAUCCAUUUGCACUAUGAAAUUCUUUUAGUAAAAAAAAAUUGUUGGUUUUAUUUCAAGUUGUUGGUUCUUAAACUAGUAAUUUCUGUAGAUGAUUUAUGGCAUGGUGCUCACUUUGCAUCAUAUAAAUUUUCAUAACUUUUUUAGUUCUUUUAGUGUCCUUGACAGAAAUAUAGGGAGGCUUUUUACAGAAAAGGAAAUUAGCUAUUUUAUAGGUAAAGCACAUUCAUAAUAGAAUGUGUUUUCUGUCUUCUUUUAUAGUUUGCUUGCCUAUUUUAAACUUACACAGAUUGUAUGUAUCCAAUAGGUAUACUUUUAGUUUUAGGUUUUUGGGGGGGAUGUUCAGGGACUGUUUUCAUUUAGGCCUGUGGCAUUCAUCAACACUGUUCGUAAUUGGCUGUUUAGAAAGAAAAAGGAAAUUGCAAUGAUGGCAUAUGUGAGGCUGCUCAGGCUUGGAAACUUGAACCAAGGGUUUAAUUGUAGUGGCAGGAGGAGGUAUUAUAAAGAUGCUUGGAAGAAAAAGAUGAUGACUAAAUAGUGUCGGAUGGAGAAGUUAAUGGUGAUAUUUCCUCUGGACUUUUCAUCCCUACUUUUUGAGAUGUGAAGAAACUAAUGUAAUUGAAUUGGUAGCACAUUGCAUGAGUUUCCUACCAUGGGGAGUUGGUCUAGGAUUCGUGAGGCUGUUUGCAUGAUUCAAACAUGUCUCUUGUUGUCAUUAGUCAAUAGGCUACUUUAGAAGAGCAGAUUUUGAUGGCUUAGCCAGAAAAAUGCUCUUUUCUCCCUCAAGAUUUAUUGAGAUAAAAAACUGAUUUUUGGGUUUGCUUUGAUACUUUUUGCUAGAUAUUUAAAGAUGGUUAAACCUCAUUUAUUUGAAAAAAGAUCUUAUUGGAAAUGUGUAACGUGUACACAUUUUAUGCAGGUCUAGCGGUUAAACAUCAUAAAAACUUAUAUCACACGAUUGUGCUACAGAAUUGCUUUGUAGUAUAGGUAGUAACUCCUAGGAAUUUAAGUGGAUUGGCAAACAGUUUUUAGUUAGUGGAUCGACAAAGACAAACAGUUUUUAGUUGCUCAGGUUGGUUAAGUGUUGAUUAUGCUUUAUGUUUCUUUCAAUGAAAAUUUUUACUUGGUGGUGUAGAUCUCAAGUCCUGGAAUGAAGCAUUUUAUUCCAAACUGUAUUUUAGUAUUAACAUAUUGUGCGGUAAUUUUGAAUUGUGUUCUUUUAUUUAUUCAAAAUAUUUAUUCCUAUGCUUUUACAGGCUUGAAAAUGCACUAAACUAUGGUCUGGAAAGAGUUUGGGCAGUAGGAUACAUGAAACGGUCAAGGAGGUAUGGACAACCCGUAUCUGUCUCUUGUAUCUUUCCUAUGGUAACACUAUCUAUUUUCUUUUACCAAAGCUAUUGAAUCAUUGUCAACUUUUAAAAAACCAUAGGUGGUUUAUUAUAAUCUCCUAAAUUUGCUUUAGGAAAUGUUGUGAAAGCUUUUGAUGAGUAUUUUUUCUUUUCCAUUAAAUUGGUGAAUAGGUUUAUGUUUCAGGGUUGUAAUAGGAUAUGAUGAGGGAACCAUCAUGAUUAAGAUUGGCCGUGAAGUACCAGUCGCCAGUAUGGACAACAGUGGAAAAAUCUUAUGGGCAAUACACAACGAGAUUCAAACUGUUAAUAUCAAGACAAUUGGAGCAGAUUUUGAGGUAGGUACUUCUACUCUGCUCUUAAGAACGUAUGUUGCACACUUGCAUGUAAUGAAGGUUGUGGAAUUUGCUCCAUCUGCAGGUUACGGAUGGUGAAAGAUUACCUUUAGCUGUGAAGGAGUUAGGAAGCUGCGAUCUCUAUCCACAAGUAAGUGUUGCUGAAAUCAAUUAUGCUACAAACGUCAUUCUUUUUCACUUUACCGUUUAGUGGAUUAGUAGCACGAGUGGUUGAGGAAGUGCAUAGGAGAACUUAAAUUCUAAAUAAUGAAAAAAAAAGAGAUUUUCCGGAUUUUAAGUUGACUAGUGAUAUUGCUUUCUGUAGAUAUUAAUCUUGAGAGAAGAUACAUGUGUCAAUUUGAAAUAGUUAUUUUCUUACAGUUUGGUGUUGUCUGGAUUACAAAUUUAUCCGUAUAUAUUAGUUUUUCAGUUAUAGCACUGGUUCAUAUAGAUUGACUGCUUUAAAGUAGGCUGAACUGGUAUAUGCAUUUGUUUCAUUCAUAGUCAUCGUGCUACUAUCCAAAUAUUUAAUGAUUAUAAGUAUUCAUAUUAAUGAGUUGACAUCCCAAGUAGUUAAUUUGGAUUAUCAAAACCAUACAAAAUCAUAGCUAGAAUUGUAUGCUGCAUUUUCCAUUGUUUGAUGGUGACCUCAUGUACUCCCAUGUCGAGUAUAGGCUAUAAUUUGAGGUGAUAUAUGGGAUGGUUUAACGUCAUUUUCUUUUGUCAUCAUGCAUCCAUCAGGCUUCUACGUAUCAGUAUAUUUGCUUACUGGGAUGCAUUUGGCUAGGUUGUAAAACUCAUGCGCCUGCCAUUUUAGCUGAGGCAUGAUAUGCAUCAAAGUGUGUACUGGCACCAAAUUCCUUCUUUCAAAUUCAUCUGUUGCUUCUACAUAUACUCUCCAUUAACUUACAUGGGAAAUAUAAAAGUUCUGAUUUGCAACAAGUUCCCUGUGAAUUUGACCAGUAAAAUUAUGUAGUUGACCAAGCUGACUUGAUUAUCUUAGAAGUGCAAUUUCUGCCAAAUUAACAGUGAUACUGUGGUGAGGCAAGUUAAUAAUUAUUUCUAAACAAAUAUUUCUUUUUGGUAAAUUGAUAAUUUCUACUAAAAAAAUCUCCUUGUGAAAUUGCUUAAUUAAGUAGAUGUGGUAAUCUUUGAGUAACAUGCUUAUCAUAGGUAGUUAUUAGUACUGAACUUGCUGCUUUCCAUUAAUAUUCAUUAUACAUAGUUCUUAGUCUUUGUUUUGUUCAGAGUGUAAAGCACAAUCCAAAUGGGAGAUUUGUUGUUGUUUGUGGAGAUGGAGAGUACAUUAUCUAUACCGCAUUAGCAUGGAGGAAUAGAUCAUUCGGAUCUGCUCUGGAGUUUGUCUGGUCAUCUGAUGGAGAAUAUGCAAUCAGGGAAAGCACAUCAAAAAUUAAGAUCUUUAGUAAAACCUUCCAGGUUUGUCCUUUGUUUUUAUAAAUCUAUUUGUGUUUUACAAGUCUAAGCCCUAUGAACAUAUUUAUUUGCAUAAAAUUAUCUCAGUAAAAGAAAAGAAUAUAGUCACUGAGACAUUAUAUGAUUGUGUGAGAUGCACCAGGAAGCCUCAUUCAUUCAGUCAAAUAAAUUAGUGUGAAUUUAAACAAGUUAUAUGCAACCUCUUGUCGUAAUCGAUCUGAAAGGAUGCACUAUAGAACUUUUUAUAAUUUCUGAUUCUUAAAAUUCUGACUUAGGUGAAAUAUCAUCUUGUUAUUGGUGUUGCUUCAUGGUAUCCCAUCAAAAUGGAUUUGCAUGCAUCAAGCAUGCUAUGAUUUAAUGAUGAAGUAUGCUUUAUGACUUACAACAUUGCUUGAAUUUUUAAAUGAAUGGCAUCUUUCAGGAGAGAAAAAGUAUUCGGCCAACCUUUUCUGCAGAGCAUAUUUAUGGUGGAACACUAUUAGCAAUGUGCUCCAAUGACUUCAUUUGUUUUUACGAUUGGGCUGAAUGCAGAUUAAUACGUCGGAUUGAUGUCAAUGUCAAAGUAAGUUUGCAGCUGGGUACAUAAUAUGUUAUCAGUCUAUGGAAAGGUUCCUGUAAUAUAUUUUCUCAUGAGUAUUGCAGAAUCUUUAUUGGGCUGAUAGUGGUGACCUGCUGGUCAUAGCUAGUGAUACAUCCUUCUAUAUUCUGAAGUAUAAGGUAAGUUAAUCUACAUAAUGUUUAUCCUGCAAAUAUUUUUAUACUUGUUUAAGGAACAUUGUUAUAGUAGAUAUGCUUUUUGCAUCUUCCUAGGAACAAGCUCACAAGAUUUGUUAUUUGAAUGUUCAUUAAUGUUGCUUUUCCUGCAGAGACAUGUUGUUUUCUCUUACCUAGAAAGUGGAAAGCCAGUAGAUGACCAAGGUGUGGAAGAUGCAUUUGAGCUUCUUCAUGAAGUAAAUGAGCGGGUUCGAACUGGGAUUUGGGUCGGUGACUGCUUCAUUUAUAAUAAUUCUUCUUGGCGACUAAAUUACUGUGUUGGUGGAGAGGUAAGCUUAUUCUGAUUUUCUCAUCUUCAUUUUAGUUGCCUGUUAUAAUUUGUUUGCAUGAUGGUAUAUGGUUAUUGUUUUUGUUAAAUUUAGGUCACAACCAUGUUCCAUUUGGACCGGCCUAUGUACUUGCUUGGAUAUCUUGCUAGCCAAAGUCGGGUAUAUCUUAUCGACAAGGAGUUCAAGUGAGUUUGCAUAAGAGUUGCUAUGGAAUCUUCUUUCAUUUUGAUUGAUGAAUUUUCUUUUGUUUAAUAAUUUCUUUCCUUUUCAGUGUUAUGGGUUACACCUUACUUCUCAGUUUGAUCGAGUAUAAGACACUUGUUAUGCGUGGGGAUUUGGAACGUGCAAAUGAAGUUUUGCCAGCAAUUCCGCAGGAUCAUCAUAAUAGGUACAAGUUUUUCUUCAAAAAUGGAGAGUGAAAGUUGUUGCUAGACCGAAUAUUCCGACAAGAAGCCUGAUUUUGUUAAGUACAAUUGUUGGUUAACUCAAUCCAAGUAUACUUGUCUUACCUGAUAAAUACCAUACUUCAACCUUGUGAGUCUCGAUGUGUAGGAUUUGGUGCUUUGUGAUACCUUCUUCCCAUAUUAUGAAAAUAGAUGUUAGUCUCUGAAAAUAUCAACUUAGAAUAUUUUUCUCGAUUUACAUAUUGGGGUCAACUUAUUGUUUUUAGUUAUUGUCUGUUAACUGUGAAAUCAAUUUGCUAGUGUGGCUCAUUUCCUGGAAUCUCGGGGCAUGCUAGAGGAUGCUCUUGAAGUAGCAACAGAUCCUAACUACAGAUUUGACCUAGCUGUUCAGCUUGGUAGGUUGGAAAUUGCAAAGGUACUACAUACACUUCAUGAUCAUGUGUAACUGAAAGGAUGCUUAUAACAUGCUUAUUCUUGAAUGAUUAUGUUCUUUUAGUUAUUUUCCCUUUCCCAACUGAAUAAAAUUCCCUGCAGGCAAUUGCCAUGGAAGUACAAAGUGAAUCAAAGUGGAAGCAGUUGGGAGAGCUGGCUAUGUCUACUGGGAAAGUAAAUUUGAAACCUGUAGUAUAUUUGGUUUUUUUUUUCUAGUAUUUGUAAUUGGUGUUUGCAUAUGUGUUGAUCUCAUCAUGUGGUUAUUAUCAUGCUCUUGCAAGUGCUCAUGUUUUUGUAAACUUAUUAGACACCAUCAUAAUGAUAUAUUGGAGUCAUUAGCAAAUACUAAUGUCUAAGCUGACAGGAUUAAUGUCAACUCUCCGUGAAUGUGAAAAAAUGGAAUUGAUAAUUUAGAGAAGACUGUAGGGAAUAGAAAAAUGAUUUUAAAAGACCAAAAUAAGAGGCUAACAAUGGAUCAAAGUGCCACUAGCGCCAUCAGUUUCCGCCAGUCCUUGGCAUGGUAUAUUGUCAGCAUAGCACACAUUCUGAUGGUGACAUGGGGGUCCUAGCAGCUACAUAAAAGGAAAAUUGAUCAAUAAAAGUACUGGGAUGGAUAUAGAAAUCUGUUAGUCAUUCUCAUCUUCUCAUAAAUUGAUUAGACACAUCUUUUAGAUUGGAGCAUAUACACCCUAUUUGUCUAAUUUCAUUCUGCUGACCUUUUACUGCUUCCAGCAUAUGACAAUGUGACAGUUCUCCUGGUACUAGAUUUGCUUGUUUGAGUCUUCACAUUCUGAUGCAUAUAUGUUAAGUUUACAUAAGUGUCAACCUUGGAAAUUAGCUUGUUGACUCGAAUGAUUUAGUGCACUAAUUCAGUCAUUUCAUUUAUUGUUUCACAGUUAGAGAUGGCUGAGGAGUGCCUGUCACAAGCUGUGGAUUUGAGCGGCUUAUUGCUUCUUUACUCAGCUCUCGGUGAUGCUGAAGGGAUAAAAAAACUUGCAUCUCUUGCCAAAGAGCAAGGAAAGAAUAAUGUUGCCUUUCUUUGUCUUUUCAUGCUUGGUAAAUUGGAGGAUUGCCUUGAAUUAUUGGUGGAGAGGUAAUUUUUUAUAUGCUUUCUAUAUUUAAUAUAUUUUAUUUGUUCUUGGGAUUAUGCCAUGCAUCAUUUUUGUAUGUCAUCUUAUUCACUUUUUCAUUAGUAAUUUAUUGUAUUUUGCAGUAACCGGAUUCCAGAGGCUGCGCUCAUGGCAAGGUCUUAUCUUCCAAGCAAAGUUUCAGAGAUUGUAUCAAUUUGGAAAAAGGACCUCAAUAAGGCAUGUUUCUUUUUUUCUUCACUAACUUUUUGGGUGGUUAGAAUAUUAUAUUAAGAAAAUUUGGAGAUACAAGUUCUGAGCUUUCUCAGUUUCCCUGAAAUGUCCUUGACAGAUUCUCUUGACUGUUAGUCUCAUUUUUUGUAAAGGUUAAUCCAAAAGCCUCAGAGUCUUUGGCUGAUCCUGAAGAGUACCCAAACUUAUUUGAGGACUGGCAGGUUGCUCUGGCUGUUGAAUCAAAUCUUGCCCAUGACAGGUUCUUAUCAUGUCAUUUCUUGUGAACAUCAUGCAAGGCACUGUUUUGCAUACCAAAUUUUACUUGUUAUUAACUAAUUUGCUAUCACCAAUGACCAAAAUUUGUUGUAUACUUGAAAUCUAGAUUUGGAAUGAUGCCAAUAUAGAAUUUUUUACAUGCAUCUAAGAUGCAUGUUUAACUUCCAAAUGGUUUUACCUUUUGGAAAAUAUUUAACAUUUUCUUUCUCAGGAUAUGCACAACUGACUUUAUGUGGCGUUCAUAUCUGUUAUUGUUUCAUUUUAAAGGAUUUUGCUUGUUUUUAUCUUGUGCACUGAAAAAUCUUUUUUACUAAAAUAUACUGAACUGUACAAUCAUGUAAGAGUGUCCAUUUUUCAUUGUGCUUAUUGUAGCUUGCUUGGAACUGCAUUUAAUUGGACCAUAAUUAUUAGAUAAGUUGGUUCAAGCUUCACAGUUGUGUAGGUUUAUUAUAUUAUAGUAAUUCGUCAUGUAGAAGCAAACAAUUAUGCACAUGUUUUUAUUUCUGAUGAUGGUUGUUAAUUCUUAACUGUUGCAUGAACGAGGAAGAACGAUAUUUUACCUUAGAAUUCUUUGUUCACACAAGAUGAUUUUGUGGGCUUCAUACCAUUCUUUGCCAAAAAUGCAGUUUUGAAAAGGAAAAGGGAUUACAUCUAAAAAUGCCUAGAAAAAAGCUUUUACUUUAAGGUUCUGGGGGUCCUGAUGAUCGUGAACAUAUUAGUAACUUUUAUUUGGAGGCUUAGACAUUUAUUACUUACUAUAUGGAUUAGAUAUCUGUUCUUUGGCAUGUGCUCCAAAUCAAAUUAGUUUGGUCAAUGCGUCUGUUUUUUAUGAUCUAAAAGUAGCAUAAAAGUUAGUGUGUGAACAAGAGGUGACAUCAUUAUUAUUAUUAUUAUUUUCAUUCCAUCUGCAUGGUUACAUCAGUAUAAGAUAGAAUGUCAGCUUUGAAAAGUCUCUGUGGGUACUUAGAUCUUAGGUGGCAGUUGGAUAUCCUUAAAACUGAAAUUUUGUUUUUUGCUUGAAAACAUAAAGCACUUGGAUUUUGAGGGUUAUGUAAGGGUCCAAUUUACAUUUCUUUUGCAUGACUGGAAAUAAACAUUACAGCCUAAGCACAUGAACUUGGCAAUGUUUUGAAUGCUUAUGCUUAUGUCCACUUUUUUAUAAGCAAUCUUUGGGUAACUCGUUACUUUUCAAAUUAAUUUGAAAACAAGUCAAUAUAGACGAUUAUUAUUGUUGAAAACAGGGAUAAGUAUCCUCCUGCUGAAGAAUACCUGAGCUAUGCUGAAAAGUCACAAAUUAAUCUUGUGGAAGUAUUCAAAAGCAUGCAAGUUGAUGAAGAGAGACUGCCUCUUGAAAAUGGUGAUUCUGGCCAUGAGGUAUGUUGUGCUCUUUAUACUAAAUCUUUUAUGUUGUCACACUACUUUUGUGGAAUUUCAGUAUGAGCAUCUGUGCAUGGAAGCACAAAUAAUGGAUGAUACAGGUUUUUGAUUGACCAAGACAUUCUAGUAGAUUUUCAUAUUUUAUUUUGUCAGAAUUAUCCUGCAACUGCUUGUAUCUGCAUAAUUUGAAAGGCUGCUAGUCUAGGUACACAUGUUUCUAGAAAAAUCAUUUGUAAAAUUUGAUCAAGUUUCCAUAGUCUAUAAUGGACCCUGGUUGGAUAAUUGAUUAUCAAUUUGGUGAGGUAACAUCUUUGUUAGAAAAGGAAGAGGCUAAUGAGAAGCAUCUACUCAGUGUUUUGAAAUGCGCUUGGGCGAGGUGAGGCCUGAGCACCUCGCACAAUGGCCGGGCGAUGUGCUUCAAUGAAGCGCCACCUGGGCACUCGCCUCAGCCCAAGCAUCAGGUACUUCAGGCGAGUGCCCAAUUGAAUAGGAACUAGAUUGUCAACUGGUUUAAUUGAAUUAGGUGUUAGUUGGUUCGAUUGAACCAACUAAGCACAGGUAAACAAACCCCUCCCCUCAUGCUACUCACGCACGCACAGUAAAACCCUAACUACCGUCGCUACCCUCGACACACCUCUACUUCAUCGUCGAUGCUUCCAUGCGUAGCUCUCUCUGUCAUUGACGGACAGGUCCGACGCUUCUUUUGUCGUCGAUGGAUAGGUCCAAAGACCCUAUCACUAUAGCUCUUGUGCAUAAUUUCCCCCACCGUCGUUGCUUUCUUGUGCAGCUCACUCCGUCAUCAAGGGACAGGUUCGUAGCUUUCUCUGCCACCGAUGGACACAUCUAAUGCUUCCUCCAAGCCCCGACAUCGCCAUCCGCACUUUCUCUGCCGUCGUUCAACAGUUCCUCCAUCAUCGUCACCCUCUCCUUCUCCAACUUCCACCAUCAGUGACUCCUCUUCUCACUACUGCAAACUAUUAGAACUAUUAACACCUUUAAAACUGAUAUUAAUUCUUAGAACUGUUAACCCUAUUUAGAACUACUAAUCCCUAAUUAGCAUUGUUAAUUGUUACUUAGAAAUGUUAUUAAUACCUGUUUAGCAUUGUUAAUCUCUAUUUAUUUAGAACUAUUAUUAGAAAUGCUAUUAAACCUAAUUUAAUAUUUUAUUUUAUUUUUAUAAUCAUAUUAUAUAUGUUUUAUAUUUUUAUAUUCUAGAGCAUCUCGUUUCGUCCAAGCAAGUGCCUCAUGCAUUUUGAGACCUUGGCACCUAACGCUUUUAUAGACACUACAUCUGAUUAUGAAACGGAGACUAUGCUGUUGAUAUAGGCCCCAGAAAUCUGAGGACAAAUUACUCUAUGUUAUCUCUGAAUUAACACCAGUGGUGAUGACUUUCAGCAUAUUAGGUUGCUUGACCGAAAUUCUGGUGGAGCACUUUUGUUUUUCUAGUGCUUGUUUUUUCUAACAAGAUUGGUAUUUUGUGGCACAGUGACACAUGUCAAUCAUGUUGUACAAAGUUAAAUUUCAGCUUUUAGCCUUCAGAAAAUUCUUCUUCUGUUAUGUUAACAUUAGUGGCAUAUUCAUCCUGGAUUGUGCUUUAGAUUAUUUUUUGUAGCCAAAUUAUAGUUACUGUUGAUUUGUGACAACAGGUACUUGAUCCAUGCUUCCAAGCUUACCUUCAUAUAUGAAAAUUUCAUGUUCUGAAACCAUAUUAAGAUUAUUUUCUUUCUUUAAAUCCUUAAUUAUCGUAAUUAGGCACUUUAAAACUCAUGGUAAAAUGAAUUUUUUUCUUUUUUGCAGGCAUGUUCUUGGGUUUUAUCUUUGACUUGUUUAUUUGAAUUUUUUUUCCCAUUGCCACCUUACUCUACGUUAUCCAAUGGAUUUGCAGAUGAGGGAAGAGGAUGUCACAGAGGAAGGUCAAGACGAAGCUGUUGAGCAUGAUGUGAAUGAUUCUACAGAUAGUACUGUCCCGGUUAAUGAGAUCAAGGGUUAGAAACAGUGGAGUAUGAAUAAUAGAGGAACUCCACCAGCCUAAACACAAUUGGUUUUGGUAACUAUAGAAUCCAAAUUGUGUAUGGUGAUAAAUUGUUUCCAACCUCAAAUCGUACAUUUCUCUAGAAAAGUCACUAGUGCUACUGGUAUUAGAAAAAUCAGGUGUUUGUAACAUGAAAUGUUGGAUUAGAGCUCAACUUAGUCAUAUAGUAGACGAUGAAGGUUCUUUUUGUAGAUCAUUAUUCCGAUUGAUUCCUUCCAUAUGAUCAGCCUUGGCUGCAGAAAUUUAUCUUCAUAUUGCAGUGUAAAUUGCUGUCCUCCGGAGCUGACAUUUACUUCCACCCAUUGUUGUAAAAACAUUGUCGAGGCCUGUUUUGGUAUUUGCCUAUGCAUGACAUGUUUUGAGAGAUUGCAACUCCAACCAGGUAUUUUGUUGCUUGCGAGCCAUAGAUUAUUUUGCGAGUGUAAAUUGAAGUUGGCAGGUUUUGCACUUUCACAGAUCGUAUGGGAACCAUUCUUGUAAGAUGCAGAGGAUAUGUUUCUUUCUUUUUUAGCUUUUCUCUGUAUAUUGUGACUAAUAGCUGUUCCUGACUUUCUUUUUUGUCGAUGUUGCAGUUCUUAUCCUACUUACUGUAGCCACUUGAGCUUUGAAGUUCCAUCACUUGAUAAGGUAAAAACACAGGUUACAUUAUCCUCAACAGGGAUGAAAUGAGACUUAAUACUUCCUUUUAAAAACUCUGGCUGGGCCAACUGUCAUAUUUUUGUACACUAUGAAAUAGACGUGCAUUAUAUUCCUUACUCUUUGGAUCUCAUGUCGCAUCUACCCUUCGCUCGUUUCAGCUGCAUGUAUAAAUAUUCUUAGUCCAGUUAUUUAGCUGUUUAAUAUAACAAGAAAAUCAUAUGUCGAUUUGGAUAAAAUUUGUACAGUUGGUAAUAAUUUUACGGAGUGGCUUAAUUAUGCAUACUGACAUAUCAAACUUCCAAAAGAAUAAGAUUUUGUUAAAGUUCAUUUGGUAGUUUGCGUUGAUUCAUUGGGCAUGAUUUCAAAAUUUUGACACCAGUGCUUUUAUGCAUAUUUUCUUUAUAUUUGUCAAAUGAUUGAAUUUUUUUUGUGCUACAUGAAUCACUACGACAAUUUUAGCAUGACUGUGUUUCUCGUUCAUUAUGAAUUGCACAUGACCCCAUUUUGGGGUGAUCAGAUUUUUUGAAAUGAAACUAUGUGCUCUGUGUUAUUCUUUAGACUAGAGAUUUUUGUCCUUGUGAUCCAUGGUUUUUGAAAAAUUGCUAAUCAACGAUAUCAGAUUCAUGAAAUAGCAUAAAGUCACUGUGCAAUUGAAUCCUGGAAAAUUAGUUAGAAUUAUUAGAUGCUUGGUCGUUUCAGCCAUCCUUUUCCUGCAUUAUCGAGGAGACAGCUCUAUCCAACUAUUUUUAUUCUAUUAUGUCAUUUAUAAAGGAUUAUUGUAUGUUCGUUUUUCACAAACGUUCUCAAAUGCCUAUAAACCAAGCUGGGUUUUCCAAUGUAAUCGGUUGGAAUUUUUUUAUGGUUUUUGAUAGAUAUAUUAACUUCUUAAAAUUGCUACUUGCUAGUUGGGGAGUCUCGUGUCUUUUAGGCUUGUAAACCAGUUAAACCUGAUCGGAUCAGCUCAGAUAGGAUUGGAUAUCUGAUCAAAUCAGUCUAGACCUGAUCCAUUUACAGGAUCAGUUUGGUGCCAUGUUGAUGGCAAAUGGGUGUUUUUGAUUUUUUUUUUUCUUGCUUCUAAGAACUUUAACAGUCAUGUUUGUGCGUGAUAUUGCCCUUCCUAUUCCCUGGGUUGGCACUCAUGGGUGGUAGAAAUAAUUUAUUCUACUUUGGAUCUUCUAUUAGGAUUUAGUCGCAUAGUUAUAUUACAGAAAAUGUUAUUGAGUUAUGGUCUUUGCAGGCUUCCUUAAAAACGCUGAGGUAUUUAUUAAUCAGUUCUUUUACCUGUUGGAAGCUAUCACAAAAGCAGCGACUCCGAAGUUUGAUAACUGGAAACACAAAUCUGACCUUUAAAUCCCUUUCCUGCCACAACACCCAAACCUGUGAAUUCUCUUUCUUUUCAGGACCGUUACACCAUCAAUGAUUUCUCCUACCUCUCCAAUAAGAUAUCUGUGGCUCACAUUCGACCAGUCAAUGCUCGUCACCCAGGCUAUUGAAUGGUAUUUGUUAUAAUAAGCUCCAUUUAGACUAUCUGCAUCCUGAAUGACAGUUGACUGCAUAAGUAGCUGGUUUUGUGGUUUUAUGUUUGGAAUCCCUUCAUUCUUCCCACGCUUUUGCUUCUUCGUCUCAUUUAUCUAGCAUUAUUGUCUCACAUGUCUCAUACUGCACACUUUCCAAUCUAACCUUACUAGUUCUAGUUUGUCACAGCCGAAAGCAAAGGGAGAAAUAAUUGAAUUCUUUCCAGCCAAUUCUGACAUAAAAAUUAGCGUACUACAUCUUCUUUGGAGAGACUAAACUUAAGAGGCCGACUCUUUGGUUAAUUUUAGUGUCACUGUAUGAGACUUCUUUGCCUAAAUCCUGUAACAUGUCAUUGUCAAAAACUAGACACUUUUGCAGCAAGCUCUGUUCCCUUCAUGUUUGAUGUAGCAGAAACCUCUCCCUUUUGUGCUAAUUAGCACACUGGUUUCAGAGCAAAAGUCCCAUUCACAUGGGCUCCUUUUGGUUGUAACCCAGGUUCAUGGUGCACCAUUAUCUUUUAGAUUCCAAUCACUUUAUCUGCCUCUUAGUUGGAUCCAUUAUUGCCUUCCUUUACCACCACCAUCUUUAGUUUGAGGUCCCUCGUCAGCUCAGGGAAGAUAUCAGAUAUAAAGCAUGCAUUAUGAAGGUGAGCUAUUGAGUUGUUAUAUUUGUUAUUUGAUAUUUUUCCGACGAAACCUUACUAAUUUUCUACUUCACUUUUCUAUUCCAUGAAUUUAUACCUAUAUUCUAACAUAGGAAUGAAGUCAGUGGAUCAUGAGAAGUGCGGAGUCUACAUGAACAGCUUUCUUCCUUACGUGUGUAACAUGGCACUGCUCUGCUCUGCUCUGCUCUUUUGUGCACGUAACAGGCAUCCCCAACCAUUACAAGCUGUGGCUUGCAAGAGACGGGGCGAGAUGCUUUACGUCUCAAGCCACGAUCUACGGAUCGGACGGUCACGAUGGGGAGGAGAAGAAUCCAAAAGCCCUAAAACUGGUGCCGUUCAGGAGAUGGACGUCUGAGAUCGGCCCAUCAGGACUCCUAGAUGCGUGUUUCCACACCAUGGGCUGCCAUAAAUAGCGAGCGAAGGUCGCCUCCUUCCUCAGCAAGCAAAAGGCGCGACAUGAUAUAUACACGAAAAAUUAGCGAGGAAGGCAUCCACCACCGCCUUCAACUCCGUCUCCAUCCUUCGCCGUCACCGCCUCCUCUUCUUCCUUCCAUCUCCCACUCGAUCGAUCACAAGUUUCAAGUCAUGCUGAGGUGAGUGAUUCUUCUCCCAUCGAACGUUUCGGAUUCCUCCUCUGCGGUGUUAUCUUCCUCUGUUGUUGUAGUUCGAACCAGUUCGGAUACAUUGCUUCUUGUUCAUAAAAUUACUUGCUCCAAUUCUUAUGGAGAUUUGAAACGACUACUUUGAUGUUUCAUUUCUUUGGAGAUUAAAGGUCUUCAGAAAAAUAUUCAUAUUUAAUUCAAUAUAUUUGAUGUAUUCAUGAAGCCAUGAACUAUACAGAGUAUAAUUUAGAGGAGUGAAAAAUGCAAGAGAUACAAAGAAGUUAACCUUAUCAAUGCUCUUCGAAUUACCAGUACAAUUCUAUCUCUAUCCCUUCUAAGCAAUGGAAGUUGUCUGGUGAGAGUUUCCUCUUCUCAUGCAACCAACUGGUCCUUUUCAGUUCACUCAUCUUCUUUCCCACUGCAUUGUGUUUUCUUUCUACUCUCUCUCUCUCUCUCUCUCUCUCUCUCUCUCUCUCUCUCUCUCUCUACAUAUAUAUCUAUCCAUCUGUCUUUCUACACACACACACACAUCAUCAACAUGAUAAAGAGCUGCCUAUAUAAUGGUUCCUUUAACUUUGCUUUACGCUUAAUCAAUGCGAAGAAUUGGCUUACGUGAUAAGCUACUUUAAUUUUUUGUCCAUUCUGUUCUUUUUAACAUGUGUAGUUUUCACUACCCUUUAAUCCAAUGAAGAUCUACUGUUUCACAAGCUGGUUCGAGAAGGUCUUCACCAAAGAUCUCAUUUUGGUGGAGCAUCCACACUGUGAGACCUGCACCUGAUGUUGGAUUCCGUUCGUACUCGAUGGAUGGCAUGGAUGUGGCCCGAGAACGGGAACUUGCAUGUUAUAAGGCCAACCGUGUGUGAGACUUGGUUGGUCUGUGAUCCGGGGUACUCGGUCGCGGCCCUGUGGGUAAUGCCACGAGUUCUGAGAUGAUCUGAAGCUUAUCUCAUUCCCUGUCGGUGUGUCAUUUUAAUGACCUGAUCAUCGAAAGAUUUCUCUUCUUAAGGUGACAAGAAGCUCGUGUUGUGUUGCAGUAAUUAACAGAUUGUGUUCGGUAGAGAUCGAAGAGAGCCGCCAAAGACGUCGAUGCGAUGACGAAUACUGCCAUGGAGGAGGAUCCCCACAGUAAUGUCAGCAGCAGCAGGGACAGGUACGCUGAGUUCAUGAAGGACUCCUGCUGCGCCCGCUACUUCCUCGGGCCGAACCCCUCCAUUGCGAGGUUCGUCUACGCUCUCAUCUUCCUCGUCACCUGCCUCCUCGCGUGGACCGUUCGAGACUAUGGCCGCAAUGCCCUCUCCGAGCUCGAGAGUUGGUCUUCUUCCCUCCGUGCCUGCUUCUUACCUGCAUGGCACUGCAAUCACACCAUCUCGCUUCUUCUCUGCAGGACUCAAAGGUUGUCAUGGUGCUCGAUAUUGUUUAGGCGCGGAAGGUGUACUCCGCGUAAGCUUUGGCUGCUUCGUAUCCUUCUCUGUUAUCUCCUUUUCUGGUUGUUCUAAGAUGUGCUGCAGAGUGCCUCUAGGAAAGCAUUGAUGUACCCGAUGGAACGGUGGAGUUCUGUUGAGGGCUAAUUAUCAUCCUGAUCUAUAGAUUUAAAAAAUUUAUAUUAAAAUUUCUAUAGUUAUGAAAGUGAAACAUUUAACCUCGUUUACUCUAACGUCAUUUGUUAUACCGAUGAAAGAUACAGUAUGUGAUAGCACGUGCAGGAAUGACAUGAAAAUGAUAGAUAAAAAGAUAAUUUCAACGGUUGUGGUGGACGAUGACGCUAUGGGUGAUUGGUAUGGUAAUGGUCGACGAGAACAAUAUGAUGGUCGACUUUGUCAAUGUCGAUUUGAACAUCGAUGAUGAGGAUGAAAAGGAGACAGAGUGGUGAGGCAUCUACAUUCACGUCGGUACCGGAGGAGGAAAAGGGGAGAGGUGAGGCAUCUGCGUCGGCCCCACACCACUCUGCCUCCUCUUCCUCUUUCGGUAAUGCGAUGGUCGGCAAGAAUAAAGAGGAGGCAGAGCAAUGUGGCAUCAACACAGAGGACGCAAUGUGAUGCCACACCGAACGAUGGGGUGGUCAACGCAAACAAAGAGGAGGUAGAGUAGUGUGGUGUCGACGCAAAUGCCUCACCUGCCUCCUCUUCCUCCUCCGACGUUAAUGCAAAUGCAUAGCGACACCAGAGGAGGCAAAGCGGUGCGGUGCCAAUGUAGAUGCCUCACCACUCUGCCUCCUCUUCCUCAUUGCCAUCGAUGUUCAGAUCAACAUCGGUAAGAUCAACUACUGUAUUGUUCUUAUCGACCACCACCACAACAGUCACCCAUGAUGCAACCAUCCACCACAACCAUUGAAAUUACCUUUUUGUCUAUCAUUUUCGUGUCAUUCAUACAUGUGAUGUCACGUGUUGUAUAUUCCGUUGGUAAGCUGACAACGUUAUGGUAAAUGAGGUUAAAUGUUUCAUUUUCAUAACUACAGGGAUUUCAAUGUAAAUUUUUUGAAGUCUAGAGAUCGAUCGGGAUACUAAAGAGGUCAAACUAUAUAGGGUAAUCUGUAAUUAACUCUUCUAUUGAUGAUCUUUAACUUCAAUCAAGUUAUUCUUCUUUGUCAUGUUUCUGUCCACCAUGGGGACGAAGAAACUAGAAGACUCUCGGAAUUUGUGGCACUCCGAAUGGUGGCCUGCCAAGAUCAUCAUUUGGAUUGUCUUCAUGGUGGUACCAUUCUUCAUACCCUCUGCAUUUAUCCAGCUCUAUGGUGAGUUUAGUUAAGCAUCACCUAUUGUUUCUUGAUUUAGAUUCUGUACUUGCUUCUAUUCUGAUUCUGAUUUUGACAUUUUUCUUCUUCCAGGGAAAUUUGCACACUUUGGUGCAGGGUAAUAAUACUUAUCAUUUGUUUUUUUUUUUAAGUUUAUAUUAAUCUGCUAAAAGGAUUAAUGACAUGAGUGAUCAGAGAAUAUAUUUCUCUCUUUUUUUUUUUUCUUCUUUUCAGCGCAUUUCUUAUGAUUCAGCUUAUCAGCGUAAUCAGUUUUAUAACUUGGCUAAACGACUGCUGCCAAUCUGAGAAAUAUGCAAAGAGAUGGUAUGCUAAAUAUAUGUUUGAUAUUACAUAAAUCAAGGAGCUUUUCAGUUCUUACGGACUUGCAAUCUUUUCAUCGAUAUCUGUUCAAUUCUGUGUGUAGAGUAUUAGAUACCUUGUAAUCUGAUGUACUUCAAACUUUGAUGUACUUCAAACUUUUGGAAACCAUGAAUUGCAUCCUUGCAACUCUACCUAUAAUUGUGUAUGACUGAUCUUUCAACAAAAUAUUUUUAUAUACUUCAGUAUCUGAAUUCUAAAGAUGAAUAUACAAAACUUGAGUUUGAUGGUGUAGCAAAUAAGUUCAUUAUUUGAUUCAUUUCUGGAGAUGAUCAAUUCUCUUCACCGUCUCCAUAAUGUAGUUCACUCAUAUCUAUCAUAGGGCAAAUAAACAAAGCUGAUAAACCCUUUAUGCAAAAUUUUAAUGUUCAGAGAAGUAUCAAUCAUAACCACCCUUUCUAAGGUAAGUAUCAACAUAGCAAGCUUGCCGAUAAACUUAUUCUUCUACUACUCUUGGCCGUGGAGUUUUAAACAAGCUAUAGAAUUGAUGUUGUAAACUUGUUAUAUAUGCUGAAAACAAUCGUGAUGGGAACAAGAACGUCAGAGAUUAUUUAUUCAUGAAAUAUAUAAUAAUAAUAAUAAUAAUAUCUAUAUCGAGUUUAAUCCCAGAGACUCUUGAUAUAAUUGUUGCAUACAGGUUAUAGCAAAUUUGGUGACAAAUUUUUUGUGUUCUACUUGUACUGCUUUAAAUCUUUUUUUUGUCUUCUUUCCUGUUCAUUAUAAAAUGCAUUGAAUUAUUAUACAAAAAUGUUGUUUCCUCUGGAUUGAUCUCUCCAAUGGUAAGGCUAACAAUGGAACCUUUUUGCAGCCAGUACCAAGUGAUGGUUCUCUCAGCCACAGCAUAUGUUUCAUCCAUCUCAGGAAUUAUUUUGAUGUAUAUCUGGUAUGUGCCCAGUUUAUCCUGCAGCCUCAAUAUCCUCUUUAUCACCUUGACCCUGGUGCUUCUACAACUCAUGAUCCUCACAUCAAUGCAUGCGAAGGUAAGUAGUGUUAUUUAUUCUACAGCAUCCUACAGAUAAAAUCAGAAAUGGUUUCUAAGAUCUCAUCAUGUCAUCUCCUGAGUAGGUUAAAGUAGGAUUUCUGGCACCAGGGCUGAUGGGAAUGUAUGUUGUGUAUCUUUGCUGGAGUGCAAUCAGGAGGUAAUUAUUUGGUUUUUUUCUUUUAAUACUGAUGUUAACAGCCUCAUUUUACUUUAUAUCUUCGACAAUGUAAUGCUGUUCUAUCCUCAACACAGUGAGCCACAGACAGAGAUCUGCAAUAAGAAAACAGAAGUUGUGACAAGUGCAGAUUGGCUUACUAUUGUGGUAAUUUUCUUAAAAGCUAGAUGAAGAGCAUUUUUAUAGAAAUUCCAGAACUUGCAUGCAAUAUUUAAGGAUUAUAUGAAAGGAAAAGUUUACCUGUUCUUCCAUAUCUCAAAUUGGAUUGUUAAUCAGUGAUUAUGACAUUCUAUGCAUUCCCAGGUGACCAUAAACUAGGCAAUAACUUUCAGACCCAGUUAAUGUCAUCAAGGUUAUGGUAAUCCAUAAAGAUUGCUUAGGCUCAAUUUAUGAAUUUGAUUAAUUUUAUCUUAUACAUGAUAGUAGAUGAAUCAUGAUAGUAUCUGAUAUUGACUGCUGGGCAUCAUUUUGUUCCGAUCAUAAAUUGCUCCUAGAUACAAUCAUCUUAUUCAUUCUUGUGGCUUCAUCUUGACCAGAGCUUUGUUAUUGCUGUCCUUGCAAUAGUAAUUGCAACAUUUUCAACAGGGAUAGACUCCAAAUGCUUUCAGGUGGAUCUCACUUACAUCACCCCACUACAUUUAUUACUGUCCUUCCAUUCACUGAGAGGGUUUUAUUGGUCACAUGCAGUUCAAGAAAACUGAAGCAGAGUCAGAAGAUGAUGUUCCCUAUGGGUAUGGCUUCUUUCAUUUUGUCUUUGCUAUGGGAGCAAUGUACUUUGCCAUGCUAUUUGUGGGAUGGAAUGCACAAAACACCAUGCAAAAGUAAGUUUUCAUAUCCAUCAGCUUGCUUUCUUACUUCAGGGGUGGCACUCAUCAAGCUUCAUGCAAUUAUCUGCACAAGCCUUUACCAAUAUUUCAUGAUUAAAGAAUAAUCAAGCUUUAUGUUAUUUGUGUUGAUCUUAUUAAUGAUCAUGCAUUUUGUGCUUAUCAGGUGGACAAUAGAUGUUGGAUGGGCCAGCACUUGGGUCAGAAUUGUCAAUGAAUGGGUAGCAACACUUGUCUACAGUAAGUCUUGAAAUCUCUCUUGUGGUUAAGAUUAAAGAAUAAAGCCAUUGUUUGCUUCUGCUUCUGGUGAAUUGUCUAUCAGCCAUAUUACCAUGAUCAUUGCAUCUGCAUAAAUGUUUCCAAGUAAACUUAUUUUCCUCCCCCUUUUCUUUUAGAUCUACUACUGAUAAAUGUUAUUUUCUCAAGAGCUUGUACUGUUCUGGUCUGAAUAAAAUGAAUUUUAGCUCAAUAAAUUGCAUGAGUCUUCAAGGUGGAAAAAAAAAAUCCUAUCUUUAGAUUUUAAAUCUGUUCCGAAGUAUGAUGAAUGGCUAUCUGAUUGAAAAUUGCUGGGUUGUGGGGAGCAAAAUUAUGUUGGCUUAUCAAUGGUAAAAUAUAAAUAAUGAAAAUCUUAUCUUAUUUACUAGCUUAAGCUUUUUAAAUGGUGGCAAAUCAUGUGUGAUGUAGUUCAACUUUCCUCUCUAACUAAACCUAUCCUACCAAGCCACAUGGAAGGGGAAGCAUAAAAUGUAUCAUUAAAUUUCAUUUCUCAUUAACAGAGGCUAAAUUUUAAUAGCAAUGACCAUUGUUUCUAUUCUUCUGAUGAUUGCAUCUAUCAUCUUUUUUUCUUCUUUUAAUAUGAUCCUUAGUUAUAGUUUGAAACCUUUUGCUGCGAGCAUUCUAGUGAUACCCAUAUUUGCAAAUGUUAUGUGGCUUCUGAUUUGUAUUCAACCUGUUUUUGCUGUUUCUUAAUACAGUAUGGAUGCUGGUUGCACCCCUUGUGUGGAAGAGCAGAAGGCAAGCAGAUCCAGUAUAGGACAUGAGGAUUGUUCUUGAUUUCUUGUGUAGAGAGUACAUAGGCAACUGCUGCUUCUUGUGUAGAGAGUUGAUAGAAUCAUCAUCAGCUCCAGAUCUCUAUAUGUCUAGCAACUGCAUUCUAGCUGGUACAAGUUAGAUUGUCUCAAGCAUCACCCACAACACAGUGGUAUUGAGUUCACAGCAUCAGUUGUGAUGGAUCCCAAAGCAUUCUUUGGAGACUUUAUGAGUUGGCUGCAGGUUUCAGGCUGUGGGUGUGGAUGCAAUGGCAUACACAUCCUCUGGAGUUGCUCAAGAGCCAGAAAGGAUUGUAUAUAUCGCAUAUCAAUUCUUUAAGAAUACUAGAAUCUCAAAUUCAUAUAAGCAGGGAAAUGUAAUAGGGUUGUGAUGUCCAAAUGGAUGUCUGAGUCUAGUAUAGCUGCUAUUUGGUGCCAUCUCAGAAAUGCAUAUUUCUGCAUCUUCCUGGUAGGAAAGCAGAAUUCUGAUCCAAACAUGUUGAGCAAAAUGUAACAGAUUCUUUUUCUUUCCAUUAUAUUAUGAUUUCCUGUUCUUGUUACAAAUUGGCUAUAAUUCCCACAACUGCAUACUUCUGCAUCCACCUAGUUGUCAGGUUUUGAGCAAGGUAGAAAGCAGAUCCAAACAUGGGUGAAGCAAAAUGUAGAAAAUUCUUUUUCUCUUUCCAUUAUUUAUGAUGUCCUUUUUCACCUUUUGUUAUAUAUAUAAUGUUUUGAGCAAGGUGUAGAAUGUUUUACACCUACAACAUUUGUCUGGUGAUAUAUAAUUUAUUAUAUAUAAUAUUUAUCUGGUGGUAUAAUAUUAAUAUUUUUAUACCUAAAACAUAGACCCAAUCGCCAAAGAUUAUGGUUCAAAAUCUUAUAGUAAAAGAGUGAUUUUUCUUUGAAGAUGUCAACUAAGCAAAUCUCUUUCACUGGUCCUUUGCACAAAGAAAAAAAUGAUUAAUUGCAUACCAUUCUAAACCCUAACCUUUCCAAAAUGUGUCCUAGUUCAAUUAUAAAGAUAUGCUUUCAUCAAACUCAUUAUAGAGAUGCAUUUCUUUAUUUAGUGAGAAAGCUGGCACUGUUUCAUAAUCAUUCAUGGCAGUGAAACUUGUUUCUAUAGCUCAUGAUCUCAUUCUCUGGAACAUAGAAAUGGUCAUCUAACAAGAAUAUCUUCCAUGUACUUCUUCUAGGCAUAGCCUAUAUGAUUAUUAGGCUUUAACCAUAACAAGAAGAUGACACGACAAACUGAUCCAACAAAAAUAACAACAGAGGCAUUGCAUAUAUGCAUGAGAUUCUGGUUAUUAAGGUUCCAAUAUAAAUCGGUACAAGAGACAAAGAUUGGAACAGCAUGAAAGCCAUCUAAAGAAAAUCAAGUCUUAUGAUCAGGUCAUAGGCGAGCAUUCCAAUGUUUAUUUUGCAGUUCAACAAACAGAUUAAGACUAUACUAAAGCUUCUUAGCUUCUUACCCACGUGGAUCACCGUGCUGGUUGUUGAUUGUAGUGACUCUUCUCUUUCUUCUUUGCAGCAGCGAGCCUAGCACUUCUUGCAGCUGCCUCGAUGGCGGCAGCUUUUGCAGCAGCAUCCAUCUCUUUAUUUGAUUUCUUCUUCUUCAUGGAAGCCACCUUUUUUAUCCUUUCCUUCACAUCAACUGCAGAUGCAUCUUCUUCCUCAGGCUCAGCAACCACCUCGUCCAGGCUGUUGUUAUUGUUAUUGAGAUCAGCAGGCUGUUCCACAUAUUCCUUGGUGUCCUUUGAAGAUUUCUCCUUUUUGGCCUUCUUUUUCUUUGAACUUUUGAUCUCCAAAGGAGCACCUGAGUUUUCCUUUUUCUCUCCACCGCCACUUUGCUCCGGUUGUUUCUUGUCUGAGCGUAUUGAUGGAAUGAGGUCAUUGUAAAACAUACAAUAUAUUGGUCGUGAACACACAUACUACAUAAUUAUUCAUAUGCACUAGAAUGGAUGUGACUAAGACUAUAUGGAUGUGAAAGAAACGAGAACAAAAUGAGAGGGCAUAAACACAUGUAAAAUGUUUAUGAAUACGCAUAUGAAUGUGUUACAUAUGCAGAAUCACUUUCAUUCAUAGAACUGUUUGUAUCACAUUAUAUGAAGGGUAAAAGUGAUACCAUUCGUCUCGUCUUGUGCAGCAUUACUAUCUUUGCUGGAAAUGCCUAGCUCAUGCAGAAGUGCAUCAAGUUCUUCCAUUUCCUUUUUCUUAAGCUCCUUCUUUGACAGUUGCCGUUCAGCAUCUUUGGAUGGUACUGAAACAGAAGCAGGUUUCUCGAUAAUUGGUUCAGUUGCAACGGCAACCUCAGGUUCAUGUUCAGGUUCCUCCUCAACAUCAUCAUCGCCGAUAUCAAGACCAUCAUCUUCGCUUUCACUUUCCUAAACAAAUGUGCAUAAUAGACAAAAAGAAAUUCUGUCCAAGUCAGAUAAAAAUGAAAAUAUUCAAUGUGUGCUCAACAUUAGUCAAACAGACCAGCUUUCCCAGAGCUUUUCCUACUUCCCAAUACCAUGAUUUAUAUUCAAGAGUGCAAGUUGAUGCACAUGGCCAGAUAUACACAGGUAAAUGCAUACAAAUGCAUAGCAAAAGAGAAAAGUUCCUGCAGAUUUGUAUAAUGACUUAGAUCACAUUCUUAAGGUACAGAAUGAGAAAUUAUGGACCUAUUAAAAACAGAAACAGAUUAAGAGACAACAAAUAAAUUAGAACCACCCAAAAUAUUGAAUUUGCACAUAGCUCAACCAAUAGAUGGAUAAAAACAAAACAAAGCAGAUAGUGGUCAACAGAUCCAAAGAGAUAAACAUGAAGUCUGACAAAUUGACACAUAUCAUCGAGCAGAUUGGAGACACUACAUCUGACUUGCAACCUUGCACUUCUGUAAGUAACCAAUGAUUACCUGAUCGGUAGUCUAUAAAGCUAAAAGAAUUUGAUACACAACAUUAGCUAUCUGCAGAUGUCAUAAAGGCCAUACUGCCACAAAACUCAAAAAAAGAAACCAACAGAUGUAGUCACAACAGAAACUGGGAAAAGAAGACCAAGAACCUGAAGCUUGAUUAUCAAUUUUCCUUUAUGGUAGGAACUGUAAUCAAAUGCCAAGUAUAAAGAUGCACAUGAGACAAUAAAUUAUACCAGAUUUAAAGACAGCUGCAUGACCAAGAAUAUUAGGCUUGUUCCCAAAAUUCUAACAAUGAAAUUUUUCACAGAAUGAUGAAACAAGUAGAUCAUCCAACAUAAAACAAUGAUUCCAAAGUAAAUACAUUUGAUAGGUCAUCACAAAAUCAGCAGUUUCGGAAAAAACAAGCUCAAAUACAAACUCAACAAGGUUAUACACAGAAUUUUCAUUCCUCAAUAUCAUUCCUAAACAAAAUAGGUUAUACAAUAUAUGAAACCAAAAACUGGCAAAAUGCUCAGUAUGCACUCUCAAAAAUGCAAUGUAGAUUCAUCUCAUAAAAUAUAUACAUCCAGUUAUUUUAGCUUUCAGGUUGACAUCUACAAUUCUAAUUACUACUACAUCGUAUAAAGAUAAACAUGAUACUCUUCAUGUCAAUUUUAACUUUUAGAACAACAUAGAUAUUUUUACUAAUAUUGCAUUUGCAAGUAUUUAUUUUUGAAUGCUAGUAAUCCUUUUGGAGAUCUUAUAAUUAAAUAUCAUUGAAAUUCAACUCAAGGUUUUCAAGAAAUCUACAGUCCAUUUGUUUCCUUGAAAAUGGAUCAUGUUUUAAGCAGAGUUAAUAGCUUUUGGUGCUACUCCAUAUGACACUAAGAUCAGAAACAUCCGAAAGACACAUAAUUUUGCACUAGUUUACAAUAAUAAUUUGAACUAUAGCUCUGUGAUGCAACUUGUAAGCCACAGGAAUCCAUAAUCAACAAAGGUUUGAGAAGCACUGAGGUGCUAUGGUUUCUUAAUGCCUAGGUGCAAAAAACGAGGUGAAGCACAGCCCCGUACGGACACCUUCUUGAAGAAAGUCAUAAUUAGCGCCAAGAUAUAAAAUUACCUAAAGCAUGAAUCAGUUAUUGUGAUAUUAGAGAUACAUACUACUAUCAUCAAAGGAAUGUCAAUAUAUCCUCCACAUGAAUGUCAAUUACAUACAAAGUUAUGAUUUUGUGUGACAAGGUAAUUCACUAAAGAAAUGCUUGUCUACUUCCAUCGAUAUAUGUAACAUUAGGACAUACAGAGACAUCAAAGUUUCCUAGUAUGUUGCAAUAACUACUCAGCUUGUAAGAUCAUAAAGCAAAAGAAGGCAAAAAAAUAAAACCACGUGUACCAAUAAAUUUCCAAUCUGCCUUAACACUUCAAGCAACAAUAAUACAUUUUAAGCCUACAUGAAAAAAACUGUCUAGAAUACCUAAAGCUAGUAUGCUAGAACUCCCAAAAUUACAAGCAGUACCUAAAGGCUAGAGUGCCAUAAGCAGAACAAAAUACAAGUGCUCCCUAAAAUUCCUUGCCUACAUAAGCAGAACUGACUGAUGUGAUGAUGUGACAACAUAACCAUUUUAAGCCACUAGCUUUCUAACUGGUAGUAACAAUAUGCUGAAAUAUCAACCAUCAUUUCCAACUAAAAAUUAUGAUUGGGCUAAAAAAACAUUAACCUACAUGGAAGAAUUAAGUAAAAUAACAGUAUAGCUUUACAUAUCAACAAAAACCCUCUACUUGAGCAUGAGAGUCCUUAAAGGUUAUCAUAAUAUCUGAUGUCAACUAAAAUAUUCUCUGCUAGUGAACACAGCAAAUGAGAAGUCAUAAUUGGCACAAAAGACUAUUAAUGAGACAAAAAUCGAUAAAUAAUAUACGAGUGCAGUUGUUUAGAUAAGGUACCAGACAUCUGCAUUUGAGACCUAAGGAAGAAAAAUAAUACAGCACCUUCACAGACAGUAAUCCAUUGAGAAGAGGAUGCAGGAACAAAACCAUAUCAGCAUAGUUAGUGAAAUACGCACUAAUCUCAGGCAAAACAUACACAAAAAUUAACCCGUGAAACAUUCGCUAUAGUAAUGGGUCUUUUCCAUCGAAUUCAGAAUACUAUAAUAUGGAUCAAAGUAUUUCAAUAGGUAUUCAUAACUCCAUUAGAAAUAUAUUGAAUUAUUCCAACAACAUCAUAAUCAUAUAUUCUGUAUGAAUCAAACGCACCAUGAAGUUGAAUAAAGUACUAUAAAGGCAACACUUCAGAAAUUUAAUUUAAAAUAUAAUAUACAAAUACUUCAACACUAAUCGACCAAAUAACUACCGACAGAGGAGAAAAAAAGUAAACGGUACACAGACCUCCUCUACGGCUGCCACAACUUCCUUUUUGGGCUGCUGUUCCGACAAGCCCCAAACAGCCUGAGGUGGCGCCGUGGUUGCGUAGUAAUCAUCAUCAUCAUCAUCGACAUCAGCCCAAGAUUUCACCGUCAACGGCGUCGGAGCCCAAAAUACCUGCUGCUCCGGCUCCCUCGCCUGGCUCUUGGGCGGACCCUUGCUCUUCGACAACUUGUCCGACUUCUUCUUCUUCUUGAGGGUCUCGAGCGCCGCGAAAACGUUGGUGCUACUAAUCUGCAAGGGCCCAUCGUCCCUCCUGCUUCCUCCUCCGACCAUAUCUCCUUGUCGCGAUGCCAAAACAGAUCCAGCCUGCGGUUUCAAGAUCUACAGGAAACUCUCAAAUCUCAGGAAAAACUCUUCCGCGCCAAAUCAACGGACUCAAGAUCAACACUUCGAUGAACAAAAUGAUCGAAUGCUUCGAUUCCAGCAGCAACUUCCGACCAGAUUUCUUACAGAAAAGAGUUAUUUUUAUUUGGCAGGAUCAAACUGAGAUAACAAAAUUUAGACUUUGGAAGGAGAGAAUGGGAAGAAAAAUAAUAAAAUAUUGGAAUUUCGAAUCUGUUGGUGGGAGAUCGGCCGAGAAAAUUGCAGAUGAUCGUGAGAGGGAGGAUCACGGGAAUCAAAGUCUAGGGUUUGGAAGCGAUAAAACGUGUGCUCGAGAGAAGACGAUGAGGCCGCGCGAUACCGAAGGCGGAGAGAGCUUAGGGUAAACGACCAGGGUAUUCAAUGGCCACGAUGGCGUCUAUUUUUCGCUUAUAUGACACAUCAUACUCUUCCCACCCAGUUGGGUCCCACCAGAAAUCCAAUAAUAAUACAGGUAAUCAUGGGUAGCCCGUCGGACCAUUGAGGAUUUAUGUUGUCCGCGAGGUACGGCCACGGUUAGCCGACGCCAUCAAACGCGUGGCCAUUGACCGAACGCCUCGCGUCAACUGACGGCCUCGGAUGACCUUUACUUGCGUUGCUCCGCGGUGCACCGUCGACCAUCGGGGUCUUGCGCCAUACGGUGACCAACAAUGUCCCCGGCGUGGGACCCACACUUGGCUCUGAUCACAAGACAGGUAGCUGCGGCUGGUAAGUCGCGUCCGCACUCGCUUUCGAUCACACAUUUGAUCGACGCUUCUCUUGCCUCACUGGUGCAACUGACAAUUUAAUUCUCUGUACUAUAGCAUAGGUCUCUAUCAUCGACGGUAUGUUUACUAAGGUGUUAUAUAUAUAUAUAUAUAUAUAUAUAUAUAUAUAUAUAUAUAUAUAUAUAUAUAUAUAUAUAUAUAUAUAUAUAUGUAUGUAUAAACAAAAGAAUUACUAGAGAGCAGAACCAACUCAAAAUUGUGUUCCUGAUAUGUUAGAACACAUGAACUUGCUCUGGAAUGUGUUACAAAGUCAUAUGCUUAAUGUUACUCGAUAAUGUCACGUAAUAUAAAAUAUAGUUUUAGUAAAAUAUUUUACUAAACCAUAGACUUUAUGAAGUUCUUGUAGCAGUUUUAUUGAACAUUAUGUAACUAUCAUAGUUGUUGCCAUCAUUAUUAUCUAUCAUCACUAUUUUAUUAUCAGAGUACCACCAAUUGUCUUCUAUCACAAUCACAUUUAUUAUCAUUAUCACUAUGCAUGCAGUCAUCGUCCCCUUCACAUUUAAUGUAGCAACUACUUAGUGACCUACUUCCACUAUCUCAUUCAUCACCAUGUUAUACUAAUGUUGUGAUUAUUAUUUUCAUACAAUUGCUACUAUUGUUUUUUUUUAUAAUUGUCAUCACUGUCAUCGCUAUUUUUAUAGCACUAAUAUCACCAUUAUUGCCACAAUGAGAAAAAAAUAAAAUAAAAUUCUACUCAUUAUUUAAAUAAAUAUAUGUUCGUGUACACCAACCAAAAUAAUGAAAAUUAUAAAAAUGAAAAUUGGUGAAGAAAUCUCAAAAAAGUUACUCUAAAUGUAUACGUACGCUGUGUUUGCUUGCAUCAGCAUCAGCAUCAAUCUUGCCGGUGGUAGCCCGUUCGCGCUCACACACUACAAUCACCUUUGAGGGCCAUCAAGCUCAGACCUGCUAAAGGUUACCUUAGGGCAUAUAUAUAUUAUUCUGUAUAGAAAUGAAGAUCCACCUGAUACAGCAUUUCUAUCUCAUUUUGCAGGCUUCUUUAUAUAGACAUGCACAGCACAAGAAACCCCAGGGCAACUCAUCAAAUGGGAGGUGGUAGAAUCAGGAUCAAAGGCCACAGAUCCUUCAAUACACAUGUAUAUCUUGAGGCUUGCACAGACUUUUCACUCCCAAACCGUUGUCUGGAAAUCAUGGUUCGUCGGAAACACAAGACAUCUACAGCAUCUCCAGAACUGGGUCUAUUACACCAACCCCCAGUUUCCCGUGAUGUGAAUUCCUGAGCUUCUGCUUGAGGUUGUAGUGUCUCCCACCUCGGUUUUGCAGAGGGGACAAAGUGCAUUUAUCUUAAGCCACUUAUCGACGCACUCCUUGUGGAAGAAAUGGGUGCAUGGAAGCUCACGGAGCUCCUCAUUGUCCACAUACUUUGCAAGGCAAAUGCAACAAACCUGCAGCAAUCAUGCAAGGUUAGGUAUUUGGCCUAGAAAAAAUAAAUCAACAUAUUACCAAAAAUUAAACCAAAGUAUUGUGAUCUACCAACAGCCUUUAAAUCCUAGGGCAUAUCCACAUCAUCUUUGUUUAAUUAUAAUUAUUGCUGUCACACUAUAACCAAAAGAUUCUGUGGUUACAUCCCGUGAAUCUCAUAUGAAUGUAGAAAGGUGUAUUUCAAACAUUCUUUAUAUGGUUUAACCAAUCUAUAUUUAUGGUUUGACCAAACACUGAUAAGGGAACCAUAAGCAUGGUACCACUUGAUAUAUCAUUUUUUAAUUAUUCCGUUUUUAGUAAUAUCAAGUAAAACGGAUUGAUCUCUCACUCAGUAUCUUGGUAUCAUUAAGAGCCAAUCAGUUGCUGAAACUUGGUAUCAAAUAAGUAUUAAAACCUUAAUCCUCUCUAAUGUUUCAAAUACAGGUCAAACCAAUAAGUACAAAUCAAUAUUUAUUUGUCCGACAAAGGACUGAUAUUGGGCAAUACAUGUUGGUAUUUUAUUUAUCCUUUUCAUGAUACCGAAUAGUACAGAUCCAUAUACCAGUCAGUAUAUUAUCAUGGCAUCUUGACUAGUGUUUAAAAUCUUGAUUCUCUCUAGUCUAGAAUGGCAUAAUUAUAUGUUUGUUUCACGAAUAAAACUAAAAGAUGGACAUAGAGAACAAAUUUAUUUAAAAAGCCAAAUCUGGGUUCCAAGUGGAGAGACAUGGGACUUAAAAGAUCUGAUUUGGUCUCUUAGUUAAAGAGAACUAAAUCUUGCUUCAAAGUGACUUCUGUUGCAAUAACAUAUCUAAUACACAUCAAUGGUCAGCCAUAUACAAAACGGUUUCUAAGAUGCCAUCAUAUAUAAGUAAAAUCUUUAACCUUGUUCAACUACAUUUACAAAAAAUUAUCUCAAAUGAAGAAAUAUGUAUGAUGUGUUUGUAACAACUUCAAUGUGGUGAACAGGUUCUCCAGUGCAAAAAUUUGUAACAUGAUGAAAUUAUGAGCAAUAUAGAAAUAUGUCGCAACAUGUUUGCAACAAUUUCAACAUGGACAGGUUUUCCAGUACAAUAUUUUGUAACAUGUUGUAACUUGAUAAAAUAAAUACAGAAAGAGGACAAAAGAGAGCUACUCCUACUGCUUUGGAAAGUCGGCUUACUAAUGAUCUUUUUAGUUAAUUUUUACAUGACUUGCGCUAUUGUCAUAGGUAUAUGGAUAAUAACGGCCAAGUGCAAGAAGCUAUGGUCACUAGGGGUCUGGAUAAAUUGAACGCUAUUCUACCUCCACAUUGCAGAGAUUUCUCCACGUACGAUUGGCAACCUCCAUGUGGAAAGAAUGUUUCAGCAAUCUGCACUCCUUGCAAUUAAGCAACCUUAUAACCAGACCAAGCCUUGCACUCAAACAGUACUAAAUUAUUGGUAAUAAACCUAACAUGAGUUUGGGUAACUUGAAAGACUAAUUAAUGAUCUUCCUAGUAAGUGCUACUGACUUUUUAGCAGAUGCAUCCAGAAUAUGAACGUCAACAGAAGUGAAAAAAAAACUUACAGCAUCUUCGGCAGAAACAAUUCGCUCCUUAUCAGUCCCAGCAGCCAAUAUCCCACCAAUGCCUUGAUUAUCCAAGUUAAUUUCUUUGUCGCCUCUAUUUUUCCUCCUCUUUGUUUUGAACUUGUAAGUUGGCAAUGCGUUAAUUGAUUCUUGGGUAGCACCUCUACCAUGAUUAAUAUCCUCUCUAAAGCCCAUGAUUGAUAUAAUGCAAGGCAAGCAGCAACAGAUUAUUGCACAGAGAAUGAAAGGCAAAGCAUACCCAAUACAGCUAAAUGCAAGGAACACGAUGCAUAACCUGGGAAAAUGAUCAAGUAGAACACGUCAACCGCCAAUAGAUACAAAAUCAAUAAAGAAAUAAUGGAUUCUGGAUGCAUACCGGUACAGGUUAGGGGCAUCAUGAGAAGAAGAGUGCCCACCAAACACCCACACAUUCCCAACAACAAACCACACAGCAAAAAAGAAAUCCAAUGCCAUCUUAAAAUGGUCAACUAGAGAAUGUAUCCUGCAAACCAGGGAAACGAUUAAAGAUAAACAACAGUAGGUAGUUUAUACAAAAGGUACUGAAACAUCUACACGUUAAUCUGUGUGGAUGGUUAAAUUCUUUUUUUCUGCAUCAAGAACUGUUAUAAUCUGAAAGCUAAAACUUAGAAUCCAAUGACAUUUUUCAUUCUUUUAAACAAAUUUCGUUAAGAUCACAGUCUAUAUGUGAUAGUUUCUGAGAAGUUGAAAGUCAUUGUCAUGAAUUGAAGAGUCCUACUGUAUUUACAGGGAUGUAAAGGGAAACAACCGAAACUAUAUAUUUAUGGUCAAUUGCAUUUAUUUUCCCAACAUCAAGAAUGUAUCAUAUUAAAUGUAGAUCAGCAAACUAAGUUAGAUUAGUUCAUUAGAAGCCAACAGACAAAUUUGGUUCCGAUACACUUCAGUUUCCUAAAUCAACCAAAAUUCUACCAAUAAAAUGUUAAAAAAAAAUGGAAUCCCAUGUUAUGGAACUCCAAUAUCCCCACCCAAAUAACAACAAUCAAGAAGUCAAUUGUCACAAAUGUAAGAGUACAAUAUAAAACAAAGUCAGAGUCCAUGAACAAUUAUUCUAAUAAAUGUAAGGAAACCUAAAUAAAAACUGAAAAUGAAGGGACACAUAUAUUCAAGUUGUUGAAUCUUUUGCAUAAAGAACUACCAUUGAUUAGCAUGUAAAAGCCAAAAAAUAAUAUAAAAAAUAAAGUAAGAAUAGAUAACAAAAUGAAUACCAAUAACUAAACAAAGAAAGGGAUUUAUUCAAUGUACUAAGUAGUCACAAUUACCUUUGGCUAGUUACUGUAGUUUGCCUUGUCUCUGGCACUGAAUUGUGGCCAUUUUCUUGCUCUGGAUCUUGAGUGACAGAGAUAUCAGCAUAAGCACUAGAUUCUGGAGGGCUAUUACGCGAAGUACCCUGACCAUAAAGUGCUGGUUCUUGCUCAGAGAUCAGACUAUUGCGAUGAAUAUAACGCCAAUAAAGAUGAGGAAGUGUAGCAAAACAGCCUGUUGUGUAACCUAUGAUCCAUGCAAAUAAUGGAGUUCGGGGAUGUUCAUGUCUUGACAAGGAGAGCACAAUGAUAGCUGCUAUAAUUUGACUCACAUUAACAACAAGCUCAACUGAAAUCCACAAACCAGAGUUCAAAGGACUUCUAUUUCGACGGCCAUAAUUAUCAGCUCUCCUUGGCAAAGAAAAAUUUAUUGAAUUGGAAAUAUUUGGUGAUGUUGGAGCUAAUUGAGAAACAGGAGCCAAAGUGCUUGUCGAAGGUCUAUCUUCAUUAUAUGCUCCAUCUGAGUCACCAUGGUCAUUUCGAGCAGAGACGGAAGUUGAAGCAUCAUUGCGCUGUGAUAUAUCAAUCGCAUGUUCAUGUCCAUUCAAAUUAGCUGCUCGAUCCAUCAGCAAAGAAUGUCUAUCAGCUUGAACCCUGCAGUUUAGUUCCUGAAGUGGAACAGCCAUAAACAUCCAAAAAUAGGAGAGAAAGAGAAAGUAGGAACAGGCCACAACUGAAUUUCUAAGAUUCUUCCUGUGAACAGCUAGAAUUUCAUUAUGAUCAGCUUGGUGUAGAUUCUUACCAAGUUAAGAACUUCUGGUCCUAACUACAGCUUUAAAAAGUCCUCGGUGCUUUAAUGUUUGAAUAUACACUCGAACAAUCGCUUUUAACUGAAGUAAAUGCCUAAACACAAUUAUUUGUACUCUUCUAUUUCAAACCGUAGUUUAGUGAGAUGCAAUGAACCUGCAAAUCGACAUAGAUGCUCAGAUACCAAUUCCUGAUGUUUGAAUUUUACUCUAUGGAACAAUGAAGCAAAAGUUGCAAGCUCAUAGAGUUCUCAUGCCAGAUGAACCUGAUGUUAAUUCAAAAUCAUGCAAGUCUCCUUAGAGAUAACCGUGGUAACAAUACACUAUAUGCAAAAAGGAAGAGAUCACAAUUGAAUAACACUGUGGAUUUAAGCUAACAGUUACAGAUAGACAUUUACUUCGAUCAAUCUCCCCUGCCUAUUCAAAGGAAUAAAAGCCUUUGGCUGGCUGGAAGCAGGAACUUAAACAAGCAUUUCACCUUAUUAUAAAAUAAUUCAUGGAAUGGGGGAAAAUCUUCAGCAUGGAGCUAAGGAUCCACCACCAUCCAGUAUUAGAGAUGGGAAAUUUGCCAUCUUAACGAUUACUAACGACCCCGUUAAUGCUCAUAAUAUCCACUAAUCAAUGGCAUGGAACGAUACCAAAGCUCAAACUCCGACCAAAUUUAACAGUCUAACCAUAUCUCUAUCUCCACAAAGACUCCACAAUGAAGAAAUCUAACAAAUAACUGAGAAAUUGCCAAAUAUUAACCAAGAUCCAGGUCGCCUUCCCAGAGAACUACCCUAUCACAACAUCGAAGCAAAAGCCUUCCCAUGGUUCUCGAUUUUGUACAGAAAAAAAAAAUUCAUAAAAAAAAUUCACAAGAAAUCCACCGAAAGAUACAACGACGUCGAAUCGGAUCGCAGGGAAGAAGUAAACCCCGAAAUUAGAAGGGGUCUCUUGAAUUCAAGGCAAGGUAAGCUGAGAGACAAAUCGAACUACUUACCCGAAUCCCACUCGCUGCUCGGUCUCGGUCUCCCCCAUCGUUCAAACCGCUCUCGCCUUGGAAUGAUCGGCUUUCGCGACAAGAAUGCGAAGGAGAAAGGUUGGAAUUUUGGCUGCUUUAAUUAUAUUUUACUAUCUGCAGUCGUUGAUGCUGUCCGUAGAUUGCAAGUUUCCGCACGCCUUCUCAGGCCGUCUGAUCGGUGAGGGCCUGAGGCGAUCAACGGAUCAUGAUGAUCGAGCGUCGUCGAGGAUGACUGGGACGAGACGAACGGAUCGAACGGCUGUGAUCGAGGGAUCGAUGAGGCCGCGUCCGUUUGACCGCGAUCCUCUCACCUGUUGCUGACGCAGACAUCAUGACUGAUGACAUGGACGGUUCGAUCUUGAUCGUACGGACAGUAGCUUGCCAACACACAGUCUAUCAUCCAUCGAAAUUAUUCAAAUAUUUAUCAAUAUAAUAUCUGACAUGCGUUGCACAUGCAAACGUAAUGAUACCUCAGCCUUAUGGACGGUCGAAUCAACCUGGAUAAGUUUCAGGGUGGUACCAUCUCUCACAGAUGGUUUGCCACAUCACACCUGGAAAGUACUAUGACGGAUUCGACCGAUCUCUGGGAUUCUUUCUCUACGUGUGACAGCUACAUCCAAGUCGCCGUUUUCCACACGUCUUCGUUGGUUCAGCUGUCCACCUCAUCGUCUCUGCAGGGAUGACGCCCGGGUGUAGUCGACGGCCAGGUUGUAGAGAGAAGGAAUCGAAGACCCACGCAUGCUCAACCAAAACCCUUUCGCUUUCGGACAGGAGGAAAGAGACAAGCAGAGAUAUCGAUAAGAUAGAGUGAAGGAGAAAGGAAGGCCUUUGAUCACAUUAUAUCUGUGAAGAGCCCUUUCGUCUCUCUCUCUCUCUCUCUCUCUCUCUAUUUGGCUGUGUUGGCUGCUUUGGAGUUAAGAUGGACGCGCCGAGCGCGCAGGAGAUGUCGUACAUGGAGCACGUCCAGAGACGCCACGAGGAGAAGGGCUUCCUCUACGCCUGGUAUCAUCACAGUCUCAUCUCCAUUCCAUAUGAUAUACAUCAAGUGACUGCAGAUUGAGGUUGGAAGGAUGUUUUCUUGACUUAUUGUGGCUUCUUGAUCCAUUUUGUGGCAGUUUAUUCGCCUUCUGUUGCUGCUUCUGCUGCUUUGAGGCCUGCGAGUGCUGCCUCGAGUGCCUCUGCUGCUGCUUCUGAUCAGUACCGAUCAUGUCGAUCGGGCAUGAUACGUAGUAGUAUGUUGAAUAAAGCUGCUUGAUAUGCUACUUGUGAACUCUUCUCGAGUUCCUUACAUGUUUGUAUCGUGAUUUGUGUAUCUGUAAGUGGGUACUGUUGGAUUUGUUUGGUAGGACUAUCGAUGUUGCUUGAUGGUUCAUCAGAUGUUAAUCUUACAAGUUGGUCUCAUGUUGAUGAACUUGAGAGUUAGCACUUGCAGUGGGUGCUUCCAUUUUCCACCUUGAGAUUUCUCCUACUUGUUGGGCAGGUAAGCUUUAUCUCUAAUAAUGAAGAAGACAGAUAUGGUCUUGAUGAAUACAAGACUCUAAGCAGACAUCAACAUCAACUUUCUCUGUCUUCUUUUCCCUCGAAAAGAUAGGUUGGAACAUUAAACCUUAAUCCCAAUGACCAAGGAAACCAAGUAAACAUUCUAAAAGACCUGAGAUGAAACCGAGCAGUUCUUCCAUCUGGUUGCUGGACAAAGAGAAAACACAUAGAAUAAACAGGAGUAGGCAGAUUUCCCCAUCAAUACAUCCUAUAUUGAACAUCUUUAUCAGCCUUUAAAGCGAAGUCUCACAAUCUUACCACACCAGGGUUUUCAGAAGAAAGUGAGAGGAUGUAGUCUUAAUCCUUGCGAUUCUUUACCAGGGAUAUGUCAUGCCAAAAUAAGAGUGCAUUCUUCCUUCUAUCAUUGAUUUCUCUAUAUGUUCAUAUUAAUACCUGAAUAAAAAAAAUUCGUAAACAUUUUCUCCAUAACGAGAUUUUUCUCCAAUAUUUUUUUGUUUUUUUUCUUUCCACAAGUCUAAUUAUAUGUUCUCUAUUUCUGUUUAUUUGAUAUUAUAAUGAUCUAUAAUUUUUAGAAAUAUCAUUUGAUACAAAAUUUAUUUAUCCUCGAAAAUAAUUAAAAGUGGGAAGGUACGACGAGAUCAAACCUAAGCCAUACAAACAUCAAUCCAAAAUAGUAGUUCGAAAAAUAUUUCAACUAUACACCUAAAACGAUAGGACAAGGACUCAAUUAUUGAUCGUUUACUAAAAUUAUUUUAUCUUUAUCGAUUAUUAACUCAAGUGUCACUAUAUCAAUCUUGAUCUUCAUAUAAGUUAGUCAUGUAACAAGUGCUCGAACCCCCUCAAUAAUCAAGCGAGCAUUUAUGGACUCCCUAUUCGAUCACAUCAAAUUUCUUAUUUAUACAACUUUAAAUCAAGUUAAAUUAAUAUAGACAUAAUCGAUGUCAUCAUGUAUAAUUGUAUAUGUUCAAAAUGCCGAUGUAAAAAAAAUCAAAAUAUAUAAGUAAUGAAUAAACAACAUCCAAUAUUUUUGGAAGAAAUAAGCACACAUGAAGCCAUUUCAUAAUGAGCUUAAAUUAGCAGAAGAAAUAAUAUGAAACAACUCAGCAAGCAAAAUUCUUUAAAGAAGGAUUAAUAUGCAAAUGAUACAUAAUAAACGCAUAAAAAUGCAUCAAUUUCUCUCGGCCCUUAAAAGCAACAGAAGACCUUCAAUGAAAAAACCCCCCAAAUAAUGGUUUUUAUGAAAAAUGUUCCUCCGCCCACCUCUCAAUCCUGGUUGAAAUCGUGACUAAAGUCGCUUUCCGAAUGCUAUUCUUUCGUAGGUACACAUUUAAAGACUUCCAACUUAUACCUAAGCUAUGAGGUCGCGACUUGAAUCGCUGUCCAGAGUACCGCUAUUCUCUACCGGUUUUCGGCCUCCCGGUAUCUCAAGUCGUGUGUUAAAUCGCGUGACUGGUUUAAUCACCUAAUAGCCAACAAACACCACAGAUAAAACAGGCUUCUCAAAUUGAUAAUUGCUUAAGUGCCCUUCACGCGAGGCAUUUUUACACAUAUACCCAUGACGAGGGAGAUGUGUGUAAAUAUACAUAGAUCCCUUUUCUUUGCGUCUUUGCCCUAAGCCCCCUUUUCUUUUGUACCUAUUCCAAAUCCCCCCCACCGCCGCCGCUCCAGCCGGAUCUACGCCGUAUCCAGGUUCCUCUCCUCCUCUCUGUCCAUGCAUCUCUUUAUGUCGUCCCCUGAAUAACUAAUCGAUUUAGUCUUCAAGAUUGCACUAAUUCUUUCUUGAUUCCGGCCCACACUGUUCGUGAGUCCGAAUUCGCCUAGAUGAUGCCCACCAUGAAGUCGAUUAGUUGUAAGAAUAUGGAAAAUUUGCUUCUUUUUUAUUUACUAUGUCUUUACCAGGCCUGAAACGGGUCCUGGAACGGACUUCGAGCAAUAGGAAGCAGUCAGAAAAAGAGAACAUGCUUCUUUUUGCUUGAUUUUUAUCAGGGCUGAAAGCAUAGAAGGAUGAUGUCACAUUCGGAAUCUUUAUCGUAUUGCCUAACGAAUUGAAAUGACUUUGACUAUGGAUCCUGCACCAUAGUGUCUUUGUUUAGGUAAUCUCAGUUCUAUGGUAGAUGGGAACUUGAUAUAAAGAUCCUUUGUUCUUCUAUAUUGCCCUCAGGUGAUAGAUUUGUUUUUGUUGGAGCUGCAACUAAAUUGUACAUUAAGUUUUACAUUCUUCUGCAUGGUUACCCUGAUGUCUUGAGCUUAUUGUGGAGGCACUUUGUGCAAUGUUGGUUGUGCUUCAUUGUAACAUUAACUAUGUAUUACACAAGUAGGCUUUGUAUGUGAUUCACUAGGUUAUUUUGGGCCACAGAUUAUAUGUUUUGUGCAUAUACUGCUUCAAUUUGCAUUACUCUGGUUGAACAUUUUCUUAUUGUUCAUUUGUAGGCAGUUAGAGCACACCAUGGAGGGGCGGGGAAUCGUGGCCAUUUGCCAAUAUGGUGGUGAAUUUGUUACCAACAGUGAUGGGUCUCUUUCAUAUUCUGGAGGAGAAGCUCAUGCGCUUGAAGUAGGUCAUGACAUACUCUUUGAUGAUUUGAAGUCAGAACUUACUAGUAUGUUUAAUGUUGAUGUCAGUGGUAUGUCCAUCAAAUAUUUUCUUCCGAGCAACAAAAGAACACUUAUCACAAUAUCUAGUGACAAGGAUUUACAACGGAUGGUUGAUUUUACUUCUAAUGCUUUGACCACUGAGGUCUAUAUUAUAAACAAGGUUGAUAACAGGUAUUUUGUUCUAUAAAUUUGCUAAAAAGAAUCUCAUUUGGAUAAUUGGUAGCACUUAAAUGCAAUCUGAACUCACUUAACAAAUAUGCCCUUGUAGGAUAACUCGGAGCACUGUUGCUGAUUCUGGAAUCUCAAACAUUGGCACAGCUGAAAACGCUCGCAGUGGGAGACGAAGAAGGUUAAAUUCUACUAACAGGUACUUGCUCAUGGCUAAUUUAGUUAUAACAUGCACUCUGUAUGUAGUAGAUGAUUAAGAAGUUCUGUUUCUCUAGGGUGACUAGAGCUAGAGUAAGCGCUGUUGAUUCUGAUACCCCAAAUGCCAUCACCAAUGUUGCUGGAGACAAUGUAUAUAAUUUCCAAGAAAAGAGGCUAUUUGUGACUGAAAAUGAUGAUAACAGGUAAUCCUAUGAUGUCUAAUUUGAUAUGGAUAUCCAUGAACUGCAAAAUAAUUCUUUGUAAUUCUUUUGAGGUUGACUAUUUAGUACUUCGGAACUUUUUUCUUUCUUGCCCCAUGUAGUGCCUGCAAAUUCAUAAUCAUCUGGUGUUGUACAUUAGAGAAGAUAUUAAAAAAAGGCUAAAAUUUUGUGUUUGAAGCAUUUAUAAUACACCAAUUGUUUAUUUUAUUCAUCAACCCCUUAAUCUGUUUUCAGAGUUCUAUCUUUAUCUCUUGUUCACUUUGUUUGCUAAGAAUGCCAAAGAACUUAUCGACCGGAAACUGCAAUAAGAGAUUUCUUAAUUGCCUAUCGUAUACCUUUAUGAUGUUCCCCAAAUUUUCUGUUCUUUACUGCCAUUGAGAUGAUCCACUGCAAGUCCUAAUUGUGUUUAUUUUUUUCCUCUUUUUUUGUGACAAUAAUCUAGAAUGAUUUCUGAUGGCUUUGUUAUGCCAAUCACCGCCUCAUCUGCUGCUCCAGACAAUGCCAGACAAAGGAUAAUUACUGCCGACAACAUCGAUGAAAGGUACUGGCUCCAUAAAUGUUUCUUUUAUUAUGGAGUAGAGCUAUAUGAAAAAUCAUAGCUAUAACUGAUAAAACAUCAUUUGUAGGGCAAGCGGGAGUAUAUUGGUUGAUCCAAGCACUCCUCUCUUUGCAUCUCUGGUCACUCCGGAUGAUGUUGUACCUGUUAUUUCUAACUCUUCUUGGGCCAGUAUUAUUACUGGUGUGGGGCAAGAAUUUGAUAAUGUCAAGGAUUUCCGGUCUCAAUUAUGUAAGUAUGCAAUCGGUAGAGGUUUUAUAUACAAAUUUGUUAAGAAUGACACAACUCGAGUGACUGUGACAUGCAACGAAGAAACUUGUCCAUGGCGUAUACAUGCAUCUGAGACAUCUGGCAAGCAGAAGUUUGUGAUUAAAAAAAUGAAUAAUGUUCAUACCUGUGGUGGAGGAAAUGGCAAAGAUGGUCAACGGAAGGCAACAAGGCAAUGGCUCACCAGCAUUAUCAAAGAAAAAUUACAUGUUAGCCCACAGUGCAAGCCCAAAGAACUCGCAAGGGAAAUUUAUGAAGAUUUUGGUGUGGCUUUAUCCUAUUCACAAGUGUGGCGAGGACGGGAAGUAGCCCAAAAGGAGCUUUAUGAUUCAAUGAAAGAGACGUACAGCCAAUUGCCUUGGUUUGUUGAAAAAAUACUAGAAACCAACCCUGGCAGUGUUGCCUUGUUAUCCACAUCAGUUGAUUCAAAGUUUCGUCGUUUUUUUGUGUCAUUUCAUGCUUCCCUUCAUGGUUUCGAGCAUGGCUGUCGGCCUCUUUUAUUUCUUGAUAAGAUUCCUCUGAAGGUAACUAAUCAAUUUAAGUUAUUGGUUGCUGCUUCGGUCGACGGAAAUGAUGCUGUCUUUCCAGUUGCCUUUGCUGUAGUAGAGGAUGAGAACUAUGACAGUUGGCUUUGGUUUCUGAUGCAGUUGAAAUAUGCUGUAACAGCGACUCGAACAAUCACCUUUGUGUCAAAUAGGCAGAAGGGCUUGGAUGGGGCAGUGCCUCAAGCGUUUGUGGAUAGCCAUCACAGUUAUAGUUUGCAUCACCUCAUAGAGGAUUUUAAGAAUGAAUUGAGGAAGGGACCAUGGUCAUCACAGGUAAAAGAUGCGAUGAUUAGUGAUUUUACUCGUGCUGCCCAAGCCUGCACUAUGGAGGAAUUUAAUGCAUCUGUUGAGAGCAUAAGAAAUUUUUCAGCAGAAGCUGCCGAGUGGGUUAUGGCAAGUAAACCUGAAAACUGGUCAGAUGCCAUUUUCAAGGGCUCAAGAUAUGAUCAUUUCUCAACAAACAUUGUUGACUCAUUGAGUAACUGGAUACCUGCAAAGAAGGAACCAUCAGUGGUUCAGAUGAUUGAUGCAAUAAGAGACAAGUUAGCGGAGGUCAUGGAAGAAAGGCGUGGAUCAUGCAAUGCAUGGGUGGGUACUUUAACACCGGCUAUGGAACAAAAGUUGCAAACAGAGAUGUCAAAGGCCCGGAAGCUUAAUGUCUUAUGCUCCUCGGAUACUGUGUUUGAGGUACGUGGCAAUACAAUUUCUGUUGUCAACAUUGGGAGCUGGGAGUGCACUUGCAGGAGGUGGCAGAUUUCUGGUCUUCCCUGUGUGCAUGCUAUUGCAGUCUUCAAUCGGAUCAAUAGAUCAGCUGAUGAUUAUUGCUCAAGAUACUUCAGAAUUGAAUUCUACCAGUCGGCCUAUUCGGCACUUAUCCACCUGAUACCUGAUGUUGGAAGCAUAGAUUUCUAUUCUGGUGUAAGUUCAUACCCUCCUGCACGUCGUCCACCAGGAAGACCAAGGAGAAAACGAUUUAAUCACAACAAGACAAGUACGGUGGUCCGUCUCUGCAGCAGGUGCAAAGCAGCGGGUCACAACAAGGCGACUUGUGAAGCUUUUCUCUAAAGUUUGUGUUAUUCAUGUCCCCUGUGUAUAUCAGGUACCAAGUUAUUGCACAUGGAUGUGCCCUUUUCGGCACAAAUAUUUACUGAUUAAUUGUAGGCCUUCCAUGUAGAUCCUACUAAGGUGUCAGAAUUUCUCUGUCAUUGCUAUUAACCUGCAUUAUAUAUGCAGAUAAUGAUCUUGUGUAUGGUUAGUGAAGAUGAUCAACUUACAAAUAAUAACAUGAGCUUUUCUAUUAACUAGCAUUUGUAAGGAUGAUUUUUUUGCAUAUACAAAGCUAGGAUAAUGUUAAUUUGUCAGAAUAUAACAAACUGAACUGUGGUAAGUGAUCCUGGAAACUGGUUGUCUGCCCCUUAUGAGAAAAAGAAAAUGAUUGGCAUAAGGAGGGAAGAAAGAGUUCAUGUGUUAGUGUGGCACAAGCAAUCUAUCUUUUGCAAUUUUCUGGUCAACUCAUGAUGAUAAAUGAUUGGUGUCACCUUGCAAAGAAAAGUAAAUAGUUGUAUAGAUAACUGGUCCUUAGAGAUUGCCAGAUCGUGGGUUUUUUCAUGAUUGUGUGGGCAGAUCAUUAUUAAUGUGAGAAACAGCAUUGCAUGGAUUAGUUGAAACUCUCUCUGAUGGCUCAUUAUCCAGCAACAGCAAGUUUUUGCUUGACUAGGUUGGAGCAAUAUCUAUGUUUUCUUUGUGCUCAACAUGUUAGUAUGACACUGGUCUUCUACUGUUAGUUACAUGAUAUGGGUAAGUCAAAUGUUACAAUCUAUUUCUCCAAACGGCUGUUUCCUCCUAUUUAGAGCCCAAAAUAGGACAAACCAAGUUGACUUUUGGCUGGUCUCUUCUGUCAUACACUUGGAGACUGACUUGAGCUGCUGGAGAACCAGGUAAGUCAGCUAUUUAUGCAAUAAAUUGUGAGACAUGAUGGAUUGAUCAAUGGAUGUGAGCUUGUGAUUGGAAGAUCUUGAUCUGCUCUACUUUUCACUCCAAGUAUUUGCUGAUUUGUCUUCAAGUAUUUGCUAUUGUUGUCUCAAGGAAACAUCCUGUACUUACAAAUAUUCACAAAGUAUUUACAAAUAUUCAUUUUCAGAGACAUGUGAUAUUUUGCAGUUUGAUGGAAUAAAUUUGACAUCAAACUUCCCUUAAUUCCCUUAAAAGCAUUUACCUAUGCUUUGAUUUUGACCAUCAAAGAGUAUAAUUUUUUAUUUUGACCAUCAAAUGUACCCUUGAAACCAUAGAAAUCAUCUUUUUUGGCAUCACGUUUAUCUCUGUUUUUUCAAUUUUAUCUCUCAUCCCCCAUAUAAUUAUAAGGGGAUACUUUACAUAUAUUCAUUUUUAGAGACAUAUGCGAUAUUUUGCAGUUUGAUGGGAUAAAUUUGACACCAAACUUCCCUUAAUUCCACAAAAAAAAAGAAGAGUUCAUCAGGUGCUCCAUG